AAGGGAGGACAUAAGAUUAGUCAUAUGCACAACAGGGGCAGAAGAAAUUACAUGCUGUAACCGCAUUAAUUAUAGUAUAUUCCAUAUGACACGUGUAUGUAUGCAUAGAGAGCUGGCAAUAUGUCAAAGUGAAGAAACUAGUUAGAGCAUCCAAAGUUUCAAUCCAGAAAAUAUCGAUCCUGAAUAAUGUCAGUCCUGAGUAUAUAUCCCGUUAUUCCAGUACUAUUGGGAUAUAUUCUAUUGUGUCUAUUUGUCAGUAAACCAAUAACAACAAUUUUAUCUACAGAAUUUGGUCACAGUAGUUCCAGACAAUUAACACAUGACCAAUAGGCAAUAUAAAAAACACAACAGAAGCAAAAGUAAGAUAAGAGAUGUUGAUAGAUGAGCAAGCAAAACGAUGUCAAAUAGAUCCUUACCAUAGACUUGAGACAACUCCAGUCAUCAGCAAGAGGCUCGCCAGCUGGGCGAACAGUCUUUAGAACCAUUGGACCAUCCGCAAAACCAAACAGAAGGUUUCCAAUCAGCUCGACGCUGUUGUCAAUAUGAGAUCUAUGACUCAUCAUCUCGAGCAAUUGCUUCCGAGCAUCGUUUUUCUCAGUGGAGCUCUCAGCCAAUUUCUGGUACUACAUGCAGAACAAAAGAAAGAAAGAAAUCAGUUAGUUUAUCCAUCUUUUUUUUACUGAGUUUAUUAUGAAUACUCUAUUGUUCUGGGUAAAGUAGCAUGAGAUAUUUCUUAUGAUAUAAUUACGAACCUUGCGCCAGAAAUAGACAAGAUCAGCAUCCCUCUGAUUAACAGCUCUUGAGAAGGACGGCAGUGAGUUGUCUUCAACAAAUGUAGUGUUGUCGUUAGCAGGAUUUGACCCAAUGUACAAGAAGAGAUGUUGAUCAUUCAGAUCCAAAGAACCGUAUUGCAUCACAUGGGAACCAUAGCUGUAUGAGUCCUGAGCUGCCGUUCUCUUCUUGACCUGCUCAACCAUUAAUUAGUGUUGUUGGGAAGGAACUGCUCCAAGAUUAAUAAGCUAUUUUUUUUUGAGAUUUAAGCACUUACCAAGUCAUAUUGCUGCUUGAGAGAUUCAGUUCUCAGAUUGUGUACAUCACUGUCAACAUUGAAAGUUGCACGUUAUUUGAGCACAUAAGAACCAUAACAAAAAACCUAGUUCCUUUCAAACAAAUGACCCAAGGAUUUUGACUCAGGGUUCAACUAUAAAGUGCUGAAUGCAACAGUUACUACCAUGGCAGCCAACAUGAUAACAUAUAGGUGACAUUUUAUUCUAGUGCAGUUUAUAAGUGCCGUACCAGUUACUAGUUAAUCAUUUUGAAACGACACACCUGUACAGUACCAGAAAGUACUAACAGAUAUGAGUCAUGUGUGUUCGAACUUCGAACUGACCGUAUCAAACCAUGAUUUUAGCAUGUGAAUGAAUGGAAAACAUGGUACAACAAAGUGGGAUACCUGUCUUCCAUCCAAGAAAUACUGUACAGGUCGCCCAAGCAGGUGUCAUAUUCGGACGGAGGGCUAGGGUACUCGCCGGGGCAAUACGUUCCCCAACUGCUCUCCUCCGCGUUCGACGCGGUGGUCGCAUAGACACCGAUGUCAUUUGGCAGAAGCCCCUCAAAGACGCUCCCAGCUUCACAGGCUUCAAGAUAAAAUACCUACAAAAUAAGAGUCAGGCCAUUGUUUUAACUAGCAAACAGUGCCGAGCAAAAAUAACCAAAGGACGAUGGGUUACCAGGCUUUUGUAGGUUCCAGCAGCGUGCUUUUUCUUCAGGACAUCUACAAGAUCGUCACCGUAAACGUAUGGAUAGGUAGGCAUCCCUGAAAGUUUUACCAGAACAGAAAAACCAUGACAUUAAUAAGGUAAUUGUGCAUGUCUAGAUUUGUAUGUACGUCUGCAUUUAUAUGAAAUAUCUGUUCUGACUGGUUUUAGAUACUAAAAUCUCGAAAGAAGACAAUAAAAGAAUGGCAGGUUCUGAAUACUUACCAAUGACCCCAGGACCCCCAUGGUCACUGUAAAACACAAAAAUGUGAUCAUUAGGGCCACUGUCCACGACUUUGCCGCUCCCACCACUCACAGCGGUUUUAUUACCGAGCAGGACAGCAAACAAGUUCUUGACAUUAACCUCCUUCCCAGUGUAGUCCUACAGUGGAGAUUCAGUCAAACAGACAAAAUUGUGGAUACUGGAUAGGGGUGCAUGAUCAUUGGAAUAUAUUGGUUCAUUCCAUCGAGAUGUUGACAUUAUCACAUGUAAGUUUGACAUCAAAGACCAACUGGAAAAUGACAUAAAGACUGACCACAUUUUAGGCAUUUAAUCAUUUUCAAUGCAGUACAAAGUGCCAUUGAAAUUUCUGUUUGUGUAAUUUCUAGAGUAAUACCAUAUUCACAUUUGUCUGCAACCAUCAAACAGUUUGUAUCAUCCCAUAAGGUAAUCUAUACCAAUCUUAGUUUUUUACUACAUCAACAAAUACUGGAAAGUUUUCCAUGAAGACGCAUGCAUGAUUACCUUAGGGACCCCAGCAUAGACAUCUCCACCCUGGGGGUGGUUGAUGAUGACGCCCGGCCUCGGGUUCUCCAGGUUGUGCGCAAUGUCAUCGUACAUGAAGACGAUGAUGUUCUCAUCCUUGAGACCACCCUUCUUCAAUAUCUGGUAGGCGUGGCAAAUAUCCGCCUGCAAAGUGCAAAGUUUCGGUCCGCAAAUUAAAACACACUAUUCAUUGUCGUCAACAAAACGAACUAGGAGGGAGAAAAAUAAUCUGAGAUAGGCAGCAACACCAAACGAACACGGAACACUUUUUUUGACCUAUUCUUACAGCUAUGCACACAAACGAAUUAGAAUUUCGAGUGUGGAUUUUCUAAACCUAGGUGCAUUGUAACCUUUAUUUGGACCGUUUGCAUGUGUGCUGGUUGCAUUGAGAUUUGUGCCAGGGCUGUAGGCCUAUGUGAACAGUAAUUUAGGGGCAUACCCUGACUUGGCUCAUGGGCCCACAGUAAUGAUGUCGGAGAAAGCAUGGGCACACGGCGGGCUGAUUGUCUCCAGAGAUAUGAUUUGUGCAAAUUCUCUCCGAGUUUGAUGCAAAAUAAAAUAAAAUAAAAUAUGCACAAUUAUUUGGGACUUGGGCACACCUUCCUUCCAAUCAAUUGUUAACCUGUAAUUAAUUAUAACUAGCACAUAUGCCCGUGCGUUGCAACGAAAAAUAAAAUAGUAUGCAUAUAAAGUCAGUGAGAAUUAUAUGUGUAAGCAAAACCCUGUGUGCACACAAAAAAGGAACAUUUAACUUCUCGGUUUCGCCGCGUGCGAAGGAAUCAAUCCGCUAUUUUUCCAUUCAUUGAUCGAGGGCAUUUAAAAGUGUUGUUACGUCAUCGUACGCCAGAGAAGGCCCAUGAGUUAUUCAAUCUACUUUUCCUUUCAAUCCUUACAAUCGAGGGGUUUUUAAGGUAUGAAGUUUCUGAAUAUUUUAGGAAACCUGAACAAUUUUUUAAAUCCUGAACAGUUUUUUAAAAAUUAUGUACAUUUUUGGAAAAACGCACAAAAUAUGAAAGGGAACAUCUUUUAAAAUUCACAAAGAUUUCCCGAGAACACCAACUUUUUUCAUAAAAAUAUGAACAUUACUUGAAUUUGUGAACAUUUUUGUAAAACGGGAACAUGUGUUGAAAAUUCAUAAGAUUUUUAGAAAAUGUGUAUCUUUUAUAGAUGAACAUUAUUUUUAAUGGUGAAAAUUCACUAAAACAAGAAUAUUUUUCGAAUUUGGAGCAUUUUUUGAAAAGAAUUUUAUUUUUAGAAAUCUCGAACAAUAAAAGUUUAUUGAAAAAAUAGGAAACUUCUUGCAAGUUCUGACUAUUUUUCAAAAUAGCCUCAAAAUUUUGGAAUUCUGAACAUUUUCCAAAACUUGUUUUUUUAAUUCUGAACGUUAUUUGAGAAUUUUUAAUUUACGAAAUAAAUUCGAAAAGUGAAAUAAACUUGGAAGAAAAAAAGAUAGGGGAGAGAGAAUAAAAAUAAAACUAAAACACAGAAACAAAGAAAAAUGGGCCAGCCCAUUAUUGGUUGUUCUGUGUGAAACUCCAACUAUUUGUCGCCUUGUGCGGAAAAUAGAAUUUCCCAGCUGCAUGGGUAGAAAAAUAAGUGGGCUGCCUUCGCUGGGCCACGGCGCGCGGCCCAUGUACGAAAAUUAAUUUUCUAGCAGCCAAACGCAUAAGAAUUUUGGACCACCUCGGAUAGAAAAAAAAUUCUUUUCGGCGGUGAACGGAUGAAAAAUUUGACGGAACGCACCUUGCUUUAUUAGUAGGUAGGUAUUGCCAUAUAACUCAGUAACAAAAUGAUCUCAGAUUCUUUUGCACCAUUUAUCUAUUUCUUCUACCAUUGAGAGACAGGCCCCGCAUGGAUAGAGAGAGCUGCCAGCUGACAGGGCGACACUUUUUGCUAUGUGGAUUGUUUGAUCGGUCAACAGGGUGCCACGUACACAACAUACGGAGCUCUAUGAUGAACCGGUGAUCCUAUAAUCACCACCAGCCGUAUUAUAGUUCAAGUUCAGUGACAACUUGGUGCCUACUUAGACUGCUAGACGGAGACAAUCGUGCAUAGUUCCAAAUUUGGCUCAUCGAUCUCAUAGCUCUUGAACAGCAUAGAUGAGCCACUACUUUCCCAGGUUUACUUUACUCUUAACCGGCAGGAAGAAAAAUCUGGAGAGGGCGGGAUGGGGCACGAAGGAGCAAAGAGUAGAAUCCAUGAUAGAGCGUGCGCACCUGGUGGCGGUAGUUGUAGUAGCCGCUGGAGCCGGCGACGAGGACGGCCCACCUGGUCCCGACGGAGCCGUCGUCCGAUGGCAGCCGGAUGGUGGGCUGCAGCCGCGCGUGCGCCAUGGCGAGCAGCAGCGCGAGGGGAAGGAGGCGGAAGGACGACAUGGCCGCCAUGGGUGGUGCUUGCUGGGGUUCUGAUCCCAGAAUAAGCGAAAGAAACUUCUCCUUUUAUUAUGCGCCGGCGCCGGCGCCACAGGGGAUAUAUCUUUUCUUAUUGAUGAAAUUUCGGCAAAGCGAAAGCCUACCACCCACUACUGAUGAGUGAUGAUUCAUUCAGCUGUCCGCGUCGGACGCAGCAGCGCCGUCCAUGGCCGAUUGGUUGCGAUUCUUGCCGACCUACCGUACGUGUCUUCUUAAUAUCAGCCGUCAAUUGGAAGCUCCACCGAGCGUGCCAGCAUUUGGUUUGUUGUGCGCGUGUUAGCAGCCUAGACCAAUCAACUCAAAUCAGCUGGCGCGUCGGCUGGCUAGGAAUCUCUCUCGUCCGUUCACGUCACCGUCACCAGCGUACUGGGUAAUUUAACUGGGGCCACAUCGCCUAGAGCUAACUGCUAAGUCGUGUCGCGUCAAGAUUGUUGCACAUUAUUUUAGGAGUCCUUUAAAGAACUAGACUAGAUUCGGGUGAGGACACAACCUAUUGUUAGAUGGUUACAGAAGAAAAGUGGUAUCCCGGCCAUCAGGGUUUUUUGAUGAUAUUCGUUUAGUGGGAGGAGACGUCAAUUCUGUUGACUAUGAUGUGUGUUUGAUGACUUUGUCAAUCUUAAAAUAUUCAUAGGACUGAGCAUAUAUACUAGUCCCUCCGUCCCAAAGUAAGUGUCUUAACCUUAUACUAACUGUAGUACAAAGUUGUACUAAGGUUGAGAAAUUUAUUGUUUUUUUUGGAAAUGGAGGUAUACCCCCGGCCUCUGCAUCAUAAUGAUGCAUGCAGCCUUUUUAUUAAAAAUUCAGAAAGUAUCACCGCAAAGGUCUUACAGCUCGCAAACGGAGCAAAGCACAAGGCAUAACAACUGAAAAGUACAAGCGGACAAAGACAACCGGUACGGUAAUAAUGAGGACAAUCUCUCUAGACUCCUAUCCUGUUAUGCGACCGCCAUCCGAACCGGUUGAAUAUAGCCCGAGCCACCAUCUCCCAUUGGUUGCACCCAGUAACCAAAGGCUCCCUGGAGUCCAUAGGAGUGAGUAAGGACCACGUACGGAUCCAAGCUGUAACUCUAAAGAUAACCUGCAAAAAAGUUAAGUUGUGUUGUCUGGUGAAUAUCAUAUCAUUUCUGCAGUUCCAUAUAGCCUAUAAUAACGCACAUAUUCCAAUCCGAAUACGAGCUGCCGUGAACUGUUCAACCUCAGCUAACCACGUCCCAAACAAAGACGCAAUAUCUAAGGGGGGGGGGGGUGAUAUUAAAAGCUAUAUGAAUCGUUCUCCAAAGUAACUUGGCAAGUGGGCAUUCAAUAAAUAAAUGUUGUAUUGUCUCGUCUUGAGCACAAAAACAACACCGCGAGUUACCUACCCAUCGCCUCUUAAGUAGGUUGUCCUUUGUGAGUAUUACUUGCUUGUGAACAAACCACAUGAAAAUUUUAAUCCGCAAAGGAACCUUAAUCUUCCAAAUAUGAAGUGAUCUUCCAAAUAUGCGUCCGUCUCAUAUCCUGUAUGCUUUGUUCGGUUACACCCUGUCCCAAGGGUAUUGGAGGGAAUUUGGGGGAAUUUGACUUGUAUGGGACUUGUAUGUGAGUUCUCCAAAUAGUUUGAAAUAUGUGCAGAAGGUCCUGAUCCGUGGCAGAGAUGAUGAGGAGCUAGAUGAGCUAUGGCUCUAUUCCCCCAUAUGUGCAGAAACCACAAGACCUUACAUGGAGAUGAUCUAUAUAUGUUCCUGGUGUAGGUAUUUUCAUGUGUGGCCAUUGGGCCUUCUUUGGAUUCGAUUCUAUUGGAUCGGUGCACCGGCCGGCAAGAAGAAAGCGGUUUUCCAUCGUGUCCUUCGUGUUAUUCGCCAUCUCCCGUCUUAUUACCCCAUCUCAAUAUCGAACCGUGAGAUCGGGACUGACAUAGAUAUACCGUCUCAUCACCCCAUAUCUACUUAUGUUUCAAGGCAAGAGUAUAGCAUAAUAGUUUCCGUCAAUGAGUGUAGCGCACACCACCUCCAUUACCCUCACCGGCUUGGUGCCUCAGUUGUUGUUCUUGUGUCGACUGCGUACUCUCCCCGCCAUCACAGCGGUUAUGUACGAUUGCCAACGACGAGGACAUCUAUCUCGGUCAGUCAGCGAAAUAACCUUUUACGAACAAAUUUAGUAAUAUUAUUUUCAGCAGCAGAUAUAUUCCAUAUUGAUUCAAAAUAUUUUUUCCAAUUUAUUUCAUUAUUCUAAACGUUUCCUUAAAAAUUACUUUCUAAACAAAUAAUAAAGCGUGUACUCUGCUCUACCGAAGUAAUGUUUAACCUUCCCGCUAAAGCCCUCAGUCUCCCUCCAAUUUGUUUGUAAUUUCCCACCAAAUAAUUUGGUCGUGUCUUGCGUAAAAAAAUCUUAACCUCCCCGCUAAACACCCCUCAUAAGUACUCCCGACUAUUUCUCUUCACCAUAUCUUCAAGAUUGGAUCUGAGCUCUCUCGUUCUCCCUCCUCAUGGCGUCAUCACGGCGGCGACACUGCUGACCACAACGGAGUCCAUCCAACAUACACUCUACCAGGUUAUUCCUUUCUCCCAAGUCUCCUCCUCAUAGAUGUGCAGCGUAGCGCCCAGAACUGCCACGCCGGCGGCCGCCGUGCAGCACUCCUCAGUCUCGCCUCUCGCAUGGCCGCCAGGAUGCAAUAGCCCGCCUCGCCUUCAUACUACAACAACCCCCGGGAUGCAACAUGCCCCCUCGCCGGCGGUGCCGGCGGCGCUCACGCCAAGCUGGGAGACGGACGACCUGCUGUCGUCGAUGCCGUCCACGGCCUCGGCCACGGCGACCACAGCCAUGGCCGGCGGCCGCGACCACGACCAUGACUCCCGUAUUUCUGUAUUUUGGAGUGUCCCACGUCUUGUGGAAAUGUGUAUGCCUAGUCUGAUGGUGCCUAGUCUGAUGGUGGAUGUGUGUGUGCUAGUACUGUUCCAGAAUGUGCCUGUGUUGUUCUUACCAAUUUUUCUGAAGCAUACCACAUUCAGGCUAGACUUAAGCAUACUGCCACAUUCAGCUUAUUUGACCUUGGUAGUAGACUACUAGUAGUUUGCUUACCACAUUCAGGCUAGAUUACUGCAUGUGUAUGUAUUGGGAAUAGCCCUGUCAGGAUGGGCUCUAAAAUUGGUGUGUCAUGUGUAUGCUUCACAGCCUCAGCAUAGACUUGAUUAUAUAUGCUCUGCUUUGAUCUUUAAAGCCUAGCAUUUAAUUUCUAAAUCAAAAUUAUAGACAUAUGCAAUGCUAAAAGACUUCUGUUCUGCAUGCUCCUGUUUGCACGGUAUAACACAAUUUGAUUUCAUUUAAUCUUUUAAGCCUAGUUUCUUUUUUCUUACAACAGCUCCAGUAUAGACUUCAAUAUAUAUUCUUCUGAAAUUGACUGAAAUUAUGAUAUUACCUACAGAAGGGCACAAUGAUGAAUUCAACGCAAGAUCCUGCUGGUAGGAUACCGAGUACAACACAACGACUACUUGGUAAUAAUAUUUAUGUUCACUUCGAUUUAUGCCGUAGCAGCGAAGGUAAUUAACAUUUGGCAUUGACAUGCAGUUAGGGAUGCGUCAGGUAAUGUGCACCCUUCAGAGGAAAAUGAUGAUGCACAUUACUCCUUUCAGCAAGGUACACAACAACCUUAAAUCUUAAUCACUUAUCUGAAUGGUGCACAUUGAUAAUGCUAACUCCCUUAAUUGUUUUUGUGUUCAGUAAAGAAAGGAUAUGUUCUCGUAACAAGGAUGGAAAGUAUAACAGCUUACAAAAACCAACAUGGACAACACAGAUCUGGUAAAAAGUUUAUGACAAUUAAGCUACCUCUAACAUUUGCUAUAAUGCAGAAAAUCCUGGAUCGCUUAAUCUUCAAAACUGUUAAUUCUUAUACAGGAACUCAAGAACAACCUGACACUCAUGUGUCUGCUAAUAACGUGUGUGCACUGGAUGGAUGGCCAUCCCAUGCUCGCCGCAACCGUGCACAACUACAGAAUGGUACUUUUAUUGUUUAUAUUUGUAUCCUCGUUUCUUACAAUGUAAUACUGAUUACUAAAAUAAUUCUUGUAUGCUUCGGGUUGUAAAAUGUGAUGGACAGAAGAAGAAAGGGCGAGGUGUUCUAAAAGGUUCUAAAGCAACUAAGAAGUGUUUGCCAAUGGAUCUGCAAAGCUAAAUAUUGCAUUCUCUGAAUAUUUGGGUGGUCCAGUAGGAAUGAACUAUCGUUCAUUCAAGGAUGACGUGGUAGUCAUAAUGAAAAGAAAGUUACCACUCAUUGGAGUGAGGAGGUAGUCGGACAUUCACCCUACCAUCCAGCGACUCAUUGUUGCAGAUAUGAUGGUGUGUACAACCUUUCACAUGUGUUAUCUUAUUUUUCCAUUGACAUUGAAGUACUAAUACAGUACUGGGAAAGAAAUUAGUAAUCCAAACUUGCAAAAUACUCUUUUACAGACCGCUAGUACUACCGGGACUCUAGGUACAAGGCACAAUGUAAUUGCUCCAAAUACGCUCAUACAAGCCGCAACAAUGAAUUCUCGAAUGUUUCGAGCAAUGGUAAGUCACAAGCUUGGUUUGUCUUCAUGUUAACCUUUAUUUGAUAUGCAAAUGACAUUCAUAAUGUGCAAUUGUCUACUUGCUUGCACUGCUAUACUUUUUUGUUGUUGAAGCACAUACAGUAGGGAAGCCAGAAAUAAAACAGUUUUCUCACCAUUAGAAAUGUGAACUUGCACCAGCAUGUAGUUGUUUUACAGAACUUUAGAUGUUUGAUUAAUUUAGUUAAUUAUUCUUGUGUUUGAACUACAAAUUUAUUUCUGAAAUUAUCCAAGUCUUUUUGCAUAGCACCUAAUUGUUGAUGGAGUACUACAGCAGGCACAAGCAUUUGCUUGCUAGCUGUUGUGGUUAUAAUAAUUGGGCAGAAAGGUACUAUGCAUGCAUGAAUAUAGUAAUUAUACAAUUUUCAUGAAAGUGGUUAUAUAUUUAUGCUAAUUAUUCAUUGUGUUGUUUCUUUCUUUUCCUGACUAAGUAUUUUCUAUUUUCAUUUAACUUGAGCUAAAUAAAUUUUGAUUUCUUCAUUGCAGGAUCCAAAGAUCUAACCAGAAUGGACUCUAGACCACGGACAAUUUACUCUUUGCUCUUAACUAGGAUGGCACAUUCAGUAUGUUGAAUGUGUGAUAAAUUAUAUUUUAGUUUAUUUGAUGCAUAUUGGUGAUGCAAACAUUGAUAUUUUAUGGAUCUACAUGAUAUAUGUAUUAUUUGAAUCAUUUAAUUGAAUUCUUGUAUAUUUUCUUUUUCCGGUUGCAAUAGGGCUAUUGCCACAACCUAAUUUUGGUUGCAACAUGUUGGCACCACGAAGAAUGUAGCAUUGCAACAAAUCUUAGUCACCAUGCUGACCUGUUUGUUGCACUAGGCUGUUGCGAUGGUACACUUUAUAUUGUUACAAUAACCUCUCACCGCAAACAGGAAGUCUAUUGAGAUAACUACUUGUCGCCACCAAUUCAGUUUUGUUGGAAUAGUCGUUUCGCCACGAAAUGUUUGUAUUGUCGCAACAACCUCUCACCACAAACAUCUUGUCCGUUGUGACAACUAUUUGUGACCACCAAAAUGAGUAUGUUGCAAUUUUAGUAUCACCACGCCUGGAGAGUCGUUGCCAUACAUUAUUGCCACAAAUAUAGGGCUUGUGGCGAAAGGACUAUGCCCACAAAACAAGAGUUGUUGCCAUAGGGUAUUGCCACAACUGACUAUUACCACGGAAGACCAUGCGCCACGAGGAAAGACUUGUUGCCAUAGGUUAUUGCCACAAAUGCCGACACGAUUCGCCACCUGUUGCAUUAAGCUAUCGCCACAAACCAAAUUGUGGCAUCAAGUGCGAGCUGCCAUGAGGGAAAAUGUGGCAACUUGUCACAUGGUUGUUGCGAUAGCAUGCUUUCUUGCCACAUUUUUUGUGUGGCAAUAACCUAUUACCAUGUGUCCUGUCGCAACGGCUGGCAACGAACGCCCUGUCCUGGCAAUAGGUACCUGUUGCCACAAUUGGGCACUUAUUGUGACGAACGAUUUUGUUGCAAUAGACCCGGAUCCUUGUAGUGAUCUCUCCAACACAUAGUGCUUGCCAAAGGAAAAAAAUGUAAAAAGGAAAGGUGAAGAUCACCAUGACUCUUGUAUAAGGGUAGAAGAUAGAAAUAAAAGAUAGCCCUUCACGGAGGGAAGCAGAUGUUAUCAUGCGCUUUUAUGGUUGGAUGCACAAAAUCUUAAUGCAAAAGAAUGUCACUUUAUAUUGCCGCUUGUGAUAAAGAACUUUAUUAUGCAGUCCGUCGCUUUUAUUUCUUCCAUAUCACAAGUUCGUAUAAAGCUUAUUUUCUUCACACUAAGAGAUCAUACAUAUUUAGAGAGCAAUUUUUAUUUCUUGCACCGAUAACAACUUACUUGAAGGAUCUUACUCAAUCCAUAGGUAGGUAUGGUGGACUCUCAUGGCAAAACUGGGUUUAGGGAUGUUUGGAAGCACAAGUAGUAUCUCUACUUGGUGCAGAGAAUUUGGCUAGCAUGAUAGGGAAAGGCAAGCUCAACCUGUUGGAGGAUCCAUGACAAUAUAACUUCUAUUCGGAUAUAAGAAAACAUAACUCAUUAUGUUGUCUUCCUUGUCCAACAUCAACCUUUUAGCAUGUCAUAUUUUAAUGAGUGCUCACAAUCACAAAAGAUGUCCAAGAUAGUAUAUUUAUAUGUGAAGCCUCUCUUUCUUUAUUACUUCCUAUUAAUUGCAACAAUGACCAAAACUAUGUUUGUCAACUAUCAACAACUUUUAUUCAUCAUACUCUUUAUAUGUGAAGUCAUUACUCUCCAUAAGAUCAAUAUAUGAUCUUUUUAUUCUUUCUUUAAUUCCCUCAAGAUCAUAGCAAGAAAGCAAAGCCGUCAACUCAAAACUACUCUUUAUUAUAUAUAACUCAAGGACUCGAUUACAUAGAUAGGGAUCAAAACAAAACUCAAAGCUAGAUCAUACUAAAACUUUAUUCUACUAGAUCAAGAUAUAACUAAAAGGAUCGAACUAAGAAAAACGAUAGAGAUAGAGGUGUGAUGGCGAUACGAUACCGGGGCACCUCCCCCAAGCUUGGUAGUUGCCAAGGGGAGUUCCCAUACCCAUGUAUUUAUGUCUCUUUCUUCGGAGGUGGUGAUGAUGGAGUUUUUGAUGAAGUAGUGCCACACAUCGAGCGUAGGAGAUGCUCCAAUUUACGAAUAAUGCCCUGGAGUGCGGUGAUAUGCUCUUUCAAUAGAAUAUUUUCACGAGUGAGAUAUUUAUUUUGCACACGAACCAUUUCAAUGAUCUUGAAAGCUUUAAUUUCAGUAGGGGUAAGGUGAUUGUAGUAUGGUUGAAGGAUGUCUUCUUCUUCCACUGUCGGAACUUGAUCUCCUGCGACCUUCUUGAUCUUAUCACCCUCGUUGGUUUCCCCAAGUUCUUCUCUCUUCAUCUCUAUCUUCGUUAGCCAAGCAUCGUCGCCCGCGUUGUUGGAGGAGGGGGGCGACAUGAUGCGUGGCCUUGAAAAACUCUAGCAGAAAACAGCUCAAAAUGAAAACAGGGGAUAUUGUCGUGGUAUGGUGGUCAAAACCUUCGGGAUAUUAUAUAAUAAAUUUUUACCGACCAAAAUAAGUAUCGUGCAAGAAAACGGAGUCCGGAGGGCACACGAGUUGGCCACUGGGCAGGGGACGUGCCCAGGGGGGUAGGGCACGCCCUCCACCCUUGUGGUCGCCUCGUGUCUCUUUUGGACUACUUUUAAUUUUCCUAAUUUUUAAAUAUUCCAAAACGGAGAAAAAUUGCCAUUAGAACAGUUUUGGAGUCGGUUUACUUACUGUAACACAUACCUAUUCCUUUUCAGAGUCUGAAACGUUCUGGAAAGUGUCCCUUAUGUACUCCUCCGGUGUUACAGUGUCAAUUAUAUUGGUCUCCACAUUGAUGGGGUUACCUGAGAUAUAAUAUUUGAUUCUUUGACCAUUCACUACCUUCGGAUUUGUGCCUUCGGCGUUGUUGAUUUUUAUGGCACCGGAACAAUAGACCUCCUCGAUAAUGUAAGGACCUUACCAUUUAGAGAGAAGUUUUCCUGCAAAAAAUCUUAAACGAGAGUUGUAUAGCAAAACAUGAUCACCUACAUUAAACUCACGCUUUUGUAUCCUUUUGUCAUGCCAUCUUUGAACUUUUUCUUUAAAUAACUUGGCAUUCUCAUAGGCUUGGGUUCUCCAAUCAUCAAGCGAGCUGAUGUCAAAUAACCUCUUCUUACCGGCAAGUUUGAAAUAAUUGUUGAGCUCUUUGAUUGCCCAAUAAGCUUUAUGUUCUAGUUCGAGAGGUAAGUGACAUGCUUUUCCAUAGACCAUUUUAUAUGGAGACAUACCCAUAGGGUUUAUAUAAGCAGUUCUAUAAGCCCAUAAUGCAUCAUCAAGUUUCUUAGACAAAUUUUUUCUAGAUCUAUUAACAGUCUUUUGCAAAAUCAAUUUAAUUUCUCCAUUGCUCAAUUCUACUUGACCACUAGAUUGAGGGUGAUACGGAGCUGCAAUUAUAUGGUUAACAUCAUAAUUAGCAAGCAUUUUACGAAAAGCACCACGAAUAAAAUGUGAACCACUAUCAGUCAUUAAAUAUCUAGGGACUCCAAACCUUGGAAAAAUAACUUCUUUAAGCAUCUUAAUAGAAGUGUUAUAAUCAGCACUACUAGUUGGAAUAGCUUCUACCCACUUAGUAACGUAAUCAACAGCAACUAAAAUAUGUGUAUACCCAUUGGAGGAAGGAAAUGUCCCAUAUAAUCAAAGCCCCAAACAUCAAAUGGUUCAAUAACAAGUGAAUAAUUCAUAGGCAUUUCCUGAUGUCUACUAAUAUUGCCAAUUCUUUGACAUUCAUCACAAGACAAGACAAACUUACGAGCAUCCUUGUAGAGAGUAGGCCAAUAAAAACCGGAUUGCAAUACCUUGUGUGCAGUUCUAUCUCUAGUAUGGUGUCCUCUGUAAGCCUCGGAGUGGCACUUGCGUAGGAUCUCUUCCUGUUCAUGCUCAGGUACACAACAUCUAAUAACACCAUCUACUCCUUCUUUAUAAAGGUGUGGGUCAUCCCAAAAGUAAUGUCUUAAAUCAUAUAAUUUUUUUUCUUUUGCUGGUAUGUGAAACUAGGUGGUAUAAAUUUAGCGACAAUGUAAUUAGCAUAAUCAGCAUACCAUGGAGUAUUACGAGAAGCAUUUAUGACAGCUAAUUGUUCAUCAGGAAAGCUAUCAUCAAUAGGCAGUGGGUCAUCAAGAACAUUUUCUAACCUAGAUAGGUUGUCUGCAACGGGGUUCUCAGCUCCCUUUUUAUCGAUAAUAUGCAAAUCAAAUUCUUGUAACAAGAGAACCCAUCUAAUAAGCCUGGGUUUAGCAUCUUUCUUUUUCCAUAAGAUAUUUAAUAGCAGCAUGAUCAGUGUGAACAGUUACUUUGGAAUCAACAAUAUAAGAUCUGAACUUAUCACAUGCAAAAACAACUCCUAAAAAUUCUUUUUCAGUAGUAGCAUAAUUUCGCUGGGCACUGUCUAGAGUUUUACUAGCAUAAUGAAUAACAUUCAAUUUCUUAUCAAAUCUUUGCCCUAAGACAGCACCAACAACAUAAUCACUAGCAUCACACAUAAUUUCAAAGGGUAAAUUCCAAUCAAGUGGCUCAACAAUAGGUGCAGAAAUCAAGGCUUUCUUAAGUAUUUCAAAUGCUUCUACACAAUCAUCAUCAAAAACAAAAGGAACAUCUUUUUGCAAGAGAUUAGUGAGAGGCCUAGCUAUUUUAGAGAAGUCUUUAAUAAACCUCCUAUAGAAACCAGCAUGACCAAGGAAACUUCUUAUACCUUUGAUAUCUUUAGGACACAACAUCUUUUCAAUAGCAUCUAAUUUAGCUUUAUCAACUUCAAUACCUCUUUCAGAAAUUUUAUGCCCCAAGACAAUACCUUCAUUAACCAUAAAGUGGCACUUCUCCCAAUUCAAGACGAGAUUAGUUUCUUCACAUCUCUACAAAACUCGAUCAAGGUUGCUUAAGCAAUCAUCAAAAGAAGUACUGUAAACGGAGAAAUCAUCCAUGAAAACCUCAACAAUCUUUUCACAAAAGUCAAAGAAUAUAGCAGUCAUACAUAUUUGAAAGGUAGCAGAUGCAUUGCAUAAACCAAAAGGCAUACCUUCAUUAAUUAUUGUAAAAGUGGUCUUUUCCUGAUCAUCUUUUGACACGGGUAUUUGAGAGAAACCAGAAUAACCAUCUAGAACGCAAAAAUGUGUAUGUUUGGAUAGUCUUUCUUGCAUUUGAUCAAUAAAAGGUAGAGGGUAAUGAUCUUUUCUAGUGGCUUUGUUUAAUUUGCGAAAAUCAAUUACCAUUCUAUAACCUAUAACAAUUCUUUGUGGAAUCAAUUCAUUCUUAUUAUUAGGAACAACAGUAAUACCUCCCUUCUUAGGGACACAAUGAACAGGACUUACCCAUCUACUAUCAGCAAUAGGAUAAAUUAUACCUGCCUCCAGAAGCUUUAAUAUUUCAUUUCUUACCACUUCUUUCAUCUUAGGCUUUAAGCGUCAUUGGUGAUCAACAACUGGUUUAGCAUCGGCCUCCAAAUUAAUUUUGUGAUGGCAUAGAGUGGGACUAAUGCCCUUAAGAUCAUCAAGAGUAUAUCCAAUAGCGGAACGGUGCUUCUUCAGAGUUUUCAAGAGCUUCUUUUCUUCAUGCUCUGACAGGUUAGCACUAAUAAUGACAGGAUAUAUCCUCUUUUCAUCAAGGUAAGCAUAUUUCAAAGUAUCAGGUAGUUGUUUAAGCUCAAAAACGGGAUCACCCUUGUGUGGAGGAGGAUCCCCAAGGAUUUCAACAGGCAAAUUGUGUUUCAAAAUAGGCCCUUGAUUAAAUAAUAUUUCAUCUGUUUCCCUUCUUUCAUUCAUAAACAUAUCAUUUUCAUGGUCUAGCAAAUAUUGUUUUAAUAGAUCAGUAGGAGGCACAGCAAUAGAAGCAAGACCAAUAAUUUAAUCCUUACUAGGUAAUUCUUUAUCAUGGGGUUGUCUACGAAAUUUAGAGAAAUUAAAAUCAUGAGACAUAUCCCCUAAACCAAUAGUAACAAUAUCUUUCUCACAGUCUAUCUUAGCAUUAACAAUAUUCAAGAAAGAUCUACCAAAUAUAAUGGGACAAAAAUCAUCUUGUGGGGAACCAAGAACAAGAAAAUCAGUAGGGUAUUUAAUUUUCCCACACAAGACUUCAACAUCUCUAACAAUCCCAAUUGGUGAGAUAGUAUCUCUAUUGGCAAGCUUAACAGUAACAUCAAUAUCUUCUAUCUCAGCAGGUGCAAUAUCAUUCAUAAUUUCUUGGUAUAAGGUAUAAGGUAUUGCACUCACACUAGCACCCACAUCACAUAAGCCAUGAUAACAAUGAUCUCCUAUUUUAACAGAAACAACAGGCAUGCCAACAAUAGGUCUAUGUUUAUCUUGAAUAUCAGGUUUAGCAAGCCUAGCAGCUUCAUCACAAAAAUAAAUAACAUUCCCAUCAAUAUUAUCAACCAAGAGAUCUUUAACCAUAGCAAUACUAGGUUCAACUUUAAUUUGCUCAGGGGGUGUAAGUGUUCUAGUAUAACUCUUACGAACCACAGUUGAAGCUUUAGCAUGAUCCUUUAUUCUAACAGGAAAAUGUGCUUUCUCAAUAUAAGCAGUAGGAACAAUAGGAUCAACAUUAUAAGUAAUAGUUUCUUCUUCAACUUUAAUAGGUUCUACUAUUUUAACUUCAAUGGGAGGGUGAUAUUUAAACCACUUCUCCUUAGGUCAAAAAGAAGCUACUAUCUCAGAGUCAAGUCCAUAUUUAGUGCUAAAAUCACGAAAAGCAUCGGUAUCCAUAAAAGAUUCAACACAAUCAAACUUAAGGUUUAUACCUGACUCCUUACCUUCGUCGAGUUCCGAAUCUUCAGGGUUGCAUUUAAUUCUUAAUAAAUCUCAUUUGAAUUCAAUAUCCUUCUUCAUUAAAGAACCAGUACAAGAAGUAUCGAGCAGGGAUCGAUCAUUAUGAGAAAGCCAAGCAUAAAUUUUUUGAAUAAUAAUUUCUCUUGAGAGCUCAUGAUUGGGGCAUGAAUAUAAAAUUGACUUAAGCCUCCCCCAACCUUGAGCGAUACUUUCUCCUUCACGAAGGCCAAAAAUUAUAUAUAUAUAAUUCCGAUCACGAUGAACCAAAUGCAUAGGGUAAAACUUCUGAUGAAAUUCCAAUUUCAAUCGGUUGUAGUUCCAUGAUCCAAUAUCAUCACAUAGCCUAUACCAUGUCAAUGCCUUUCCCUUCAAAGAUAAAGGGAAGACCUUCUUCUUGACAACAUCCUUGGGCACUGCAAGCUUAAAUAAUCCACAAACUUCAUCCACAUAGAUUAGGUGCAUAUCGGGAUGUAAUGUUCCAUCUCCUGCAUAAGGAUUAGCUAGCAGUUUCUCUAUCAUACCCGAAGGAAUUUCAUAAUAAAUAUUUUCAGUAGGUGCAGUAGGUUGCGGAGCAACUCUUUGCUCUUCCGGUCAAGGUGAAGAUACCCCGAAUAAGCCCCUCAAAGGAUUAUUUUCCACAGUAGCAAGUGACAGUAAAUUUCAGCACACUAUAUAAAUGUUUCCUUACCAAAUUCCACUUACCAAAGGCUUUUCACUCCCCGGCAACGGCACCAGAAAAGAGUCUUGAUGACCCACAAGUAUAGGGGAUCUAUCGUAGUCCUUUCGAUAAGUAAGAGUGUCGAACCCAACGAGGAGCAGAAGGAAAUGACAAGCGGUUUUCAGCAAGGUAUUCUCUGCAAGCACUGAAAUUAUCGGUAACAGAUAGUUGUGUGAUAAGAUAAUUCGUAACGGGUAACAAGUAACAAAAGUAAACAAGGUGGCACAAUCCUUUUUGUGGCGAAGGACAAGCCUGGACAAACUCUUAUAUAAAGCAAAGCACUCCCGAGGACACAUGGGAAUUAGUGUCAAGCUAGUUUUCGUCAUGCUCAUAUGAUUCACAUUUGUUACUUUGAUAAUUUGAUAUGUGGGUGGACCUGUGCUUGGGUGCUGCCCUUCCUUGGACAAGCCUCCCACUUAUGAUUAACUCCUCUCGCAAGCAUCCACAACUACGAAAGAAGAAUUAAGAUAAAUCUAACAAUAGCAUGAAACAUAUGGAUCCAAAUCAACCCCUUACGAAGCAACGCAUAAACUAGGGUUUAAGCUUCUGUCACUCUAGCAACCCAUCAUCUACUUAUUACUUCCCAAUGCCUUCCCCUAGGCCCAAAUCAUGGUGAAGUGUCAUGUGUAGUCAACGUUCACAUAACACCACUAGAGGAAAGACAACAUACAUCUCAUCAAAAUAUCGAACGAAUACCAAAUUCACAUGAUUAUUUAUAACAAGACUUCUCCCAUGUCCUCAGGAACAAACGUAACUACUCACAAAGCAUAUUCAUGUUCAAAAUCAGAGGAGUAUUAAUUAUCAUUAAGGAUCUGAACAUAUGAUCUUCCACCGAAUAAACCAACUAGCAUCAACUACAAGGAGUAAUCAACACUACUAGCAACCCACAGGUACCAAUCUGAGGUUUUGAGAUAAAGAUCGGAUACAAGAGAUGAACUAGGGUUUGAGAGGAUCGAUGGUGAUGACGAUGGCGAUGAUUUCCCCCUCUUGGAGGGAAGUUUCCCCGGCAGAACAGCUCUACCGGAGCCCUAGCUUGGUUCUGCCCAGGUUCCGCCUCGAGACGGCGGCCCUUUGUCCCGAAAGCAUCCUUCUGAUUUUUUCCAGGUCAAAACACACCAUAUAGCAGAAGAUGGGCGUCGGGGGCCUGCCAUGGGGCCCAUAAGACCGGAGGGCGCGCCCAGGGGGUAGGGCGCGCCCUCCACCCUUGUGGAUGGCAGGUGGCCCCCUUUGGUGCUUUCUUCGCCGAAUAUUUUUUAUAUAUUCCAAAAAUAUUCUUCGUGAAGUUUCAGGAAUUUUGGUGUUGUGCAGAAUAGGUCUCUAAUAUUUGCUCCUUUUCCAGUCUAGAAUUCCAGCUGCCGGCAUUCUCCCUCUUCAUGUAAACCUUAUAAAAUAAGAGAGAAUAGGCAUAAGUAUUAUGAUAUAAUGUGUAAUAAUAACCCAUAAUGCAGUAACUAUCAAUAUAUAAGCAUGAUGCAAAAUGGACGCAUCAAAGGUCUAGGCCGACAUUCCACCACCAGCGCGAGGUGCGCGUGAACCAAAUUCUUCCGGAAUUCGAGCAGCCGGAGUGCGAGGCAGAGGCAGAAGCGAAAUCUGCUCGGCUGGCGAUGGAGCAGACGCGCAGUCCCUCAGAUGGCCGCAUCUUCUGCUCUAACGGCGGCUCCUACAACGACACUCCUCCCACCACCGACACCUAAACAGAGGGCUAAAGCCGCACCGACAACCGCAAUGGCAAGGGACUAACACGGAAGUGGUGAUUUCUGGUUACCCGUCUCCAUUUUAUAUGUCUUUCUAGUAGUUGCCCGGCGAUGAACUUGAUCUUUUGGUCCGUUUGUACAAAGUUGAUGCUAUGUCCGGUGACGAACUAUGUUGCUAUGUCCAUUCAUAUUGCCAUAUGUUGUAUGUACGAUGAUCUACAUAGUUGCUAUAUGUUGUUCUAGUUGUAUGUCCGGGUGGUCUACGCAGUUUCUCUAUGUUCCACAUAACAUUAUUUUAAGGGGCCGGAUAUGAGGGGAUGAUUGCGAAGGCAAUAAAAUAAGGGAUGACCGGUAACUAUCCACGGAAGUGCCCAGACGACAAGUCCGGUAGAUGAUCUUAGUUAGCCGUCACACUCUUUUUUUUAAUUUGAACAUGGUACAGAUGCAAGCGCUUAUACAUACGAGUACACAAUCACCCUAUGAACGCACACACACACACACCCUACCCUAUGAGCACCUUCGAGAGACUGAGCCGGCAUAUCAACUUGAGAUUUACGAAGUCACCGCGGGCGCCUCAUCGUCGACGGGAAUGUCUCCUCCCACUGAAAGCGCAUCGCUGGAAAUCCUGAAAUAAAUUCAGGAAUAUUGUGAGCACCAGGACUUGAACCUGGUGGGCUGGAGAAACCACUAUUUCUCUUUCAUGUCAUGGUUUUUCUUGUGUUAGGUUUCGUCUCGUUUUUUUGUUUUUCUGGUCCUUUUUUUCUAGUUGUGUUUCUUUUUAGAAUUUUCCAUUUUUGCUAUUACUCCAUUUUAUUUUUGUUUUUGUUUUUCCAUUCCUUUCCCUUCUCAUUUUUAAUGUAAUUUUUUUGUCUUUUAUAAUUUUCCCUAACUUUCAUUUAUUUCUAUUUUUUGUCUGUUAUAAUUUUUUCCUAACUUUCAUUUAUUUCUAUAUCAUUUAAACAAAAAAGAUAUUCACACCAUUUUAAAAAAUGUUCACGUUUUACAUAAAAAUAGUCCUGAUCUCAUUUGAAAAAAAUUAUCGAUCUGAAAAACGUUCAUCAGAUUUGAAAAAAGUUAAUCGUAUUUGAAACAAUUUCAUCGAAUUUGAAAAAACUUCAUCAAAUUCAAAAAAAGUUUAUCACAUCUGAAAAAAGUUCAUCGGAUUUGAAAAGAAGUUCAUCGCAUUUGAAAAGGUUUCAUCAGAUUUGACAAAAGGUCAUCGAAUUUGUAAAAACUUCAUCCAAUUUGAAAAAAAAAUGCAUUGAAUUUUAAAAAAGCUCAUCAAAUUUCAAAAAAAGUUCACAAAUUUGAAACGCAAAAUCAUGUAUUAUAAAAAAACGUUUAGUAAAAAUAAUGUAAAAUGGAAAAUGAAUAAAAAUGAAAAAAAAGAACAAAACUGUUCCAGCAAAAAGAAGGGAACAAAAGAAGUAAAAAGGUAUAACUAGACACGUCAAAGGUUGGUAGCGAGCGUUUAACCUGGUGAUCCCCUUUUCGAACCACGGCAUGUACAUGUGUUGUUUUUUGUUUCUUUAAAACAGAAAAAAUGGAACAUGGGCCGGUCCAGCACGGACAAGGGGGUGUGCGUCCUGUAUCACUAAGCCUAUAACGGGCGCAGCGGGCGCCAUUUAGGAAUUGCGGCUCCUAAUUGGCGCUUCAGGUGCCAGUUCCCUAAGGUGGCGCCCAUGCACCAUCGCCCAUGGGCCGGGCCGCAUUGGAGACUGCUCGGUCUUUCCAUUGAUAGCUGGCUCGUUCCAUCGAUCACAUUUAGCGGUCGCUACCCGUAAAAAAUCAGUCAACCAUUGAUUAAUAUCGAUUUUUUUUGGAAAAACGAUUUUUUUUAUGUAUUAAAAACUGUUCAUGGAUUUUAAACAAAAUUUAACGACUUUUCAAAAAAAGUUCACCGAAUUUGAAAAAAAGAUCAUCGAGUUAGAAAAGAGAUCAUCUAAUUUAAAAUAAGUUAAUCGGAUUUGAAAAAAAGUUAAAUGAUUUUUUCAAAAAGUUCAUCGCAUUCGAGAAAAGUUCGCAAAUCUAGAAAAAAGUUCAUCGACUUGAAGAAAAGUUCAUUAAAUCUUAAAAAAAGUUCAUCAAUUUCAAAAAAAAUCAGCGAUUUAAAUAAAAGUUGACAUAUUUUCAAACAAUUCAUCAAACCAGUAAGAAGAAGAAACAUAAAAAGAUAAGGAAAGGGAAAAAUGAGAAAUGAAAAAAGGGAAAAGUAAGAAUAAAAGAAGGGAAAAGUUCCAUCUUACCGGAUCACGCUGGGUGGCGGGGUGGUUACACCAGCGUUACUAGAUGAGGGAGGUCGCUGGUUCGAAUCACGAUCAGCCCGCUUGCUUUUGCGGCCGCCCGUUUGCAAAAACACUAGUAACAAGCGGUUCAGGCGCCAAAUAGGGGAGCAACUAACGAAGGAGUACUCGCAAAGGUCACCUAGGGUGGGCUGAGAGCGCGCUUCGGCUUUUUAGAUGGUUUUUUUGUUUGGGUUUUUUCGGCUUUCUGGUUUUUCAUCGGUCUUUCUUAGCUUUUGGACAAAAAAUAUCGAAAUAACAUUGCGGGAAAAACUUGUUUCUUUUACUUCUGCGAGAGGCAUGGUCGUGCCUCUCGGAAACGGGAGAACACAUUUUCUUUUUUUUUUUCUUUCUCGAGAGGCACGUACUUACUUCCGUGAGAGGCACAUAUUUGCCUUCACGAGAAAAAAAAUGUUUUUUUAUCUUCUGCGUCGUGCCUCUUGGAAACAAAAAAACAUUUUUUCUUUCGCGAGAGACACGGGUUUACUUCUCAUGGACGGAUGGAUUUGCUUCCGUGUGAGGCACAGUCGUGCCUCUUUCAAAAAGGAAAAAGUGCUCCCGAAUCGAUUUUUUCGUUAGGUUUUUCUGUGAAAAAAGUUCGUCAAAACUUAUCAACAUGUGAUCUAAUUUUCAAGAUCUCAAUGAGAGGAAUCCAACGAUGAAAGCGGUUCGAAAUUUGGACGCAAGGUUUAAAAGAUAUAACGUUUUGAAUAAACGAAUCUACAAAAAAAAGGAAAAAAACUUCCAGAUUGCGACGAGUGGCGCCACUUGUCACGGCCUGAUAAGAUGGGAGUUAUCUUUGCAAUGAGUGCUCCUUAAAUAAUGAUUUCGCUGAAAUAGGGUCUGCCAGCGCGAGACGCUACCCAGGGUGGCCACGCUCCUUGCCCCAACCCAAGGUCGGGCCUGCUUCCAGAGACAAUCUUGAAUUAUCUAUUUACUUACACCCGUCAAAAAAAUCUAUUUACUUACACGUGAGGCAGACCCUUUUUUCUGGGGGGUGAGGCAGACCUUUAUAUAUGCCUUAAACUAUAUAUACUUUGUAGACAUGUACAUUUGUAGAUCUCUCUACGAAGAUACAACACAAAUAAAUAUACUAUAAUGCAUCCAAAUAGUAAAAUUAGUUUAUAAAAAACAUGCUUUGUCUUAUUAAAAUAUAUAUUAUUAGAAACAUCUCUAUCAAAACAACGAUAAAACCGUAACUUUUGCAGCUAAAUAUAUUUCCGGUCCAUUACAAUUGUCUUAUAAUAAUGAAAGCUAAAAUUGUGUAAUAAUAUCAUAAGUAUGGUUCUCUAGCUAAAUAUUUUAAUUAAGCUCAUGUCUAAAGAAUACGUAUAAAAGAGUAUAAAUGUUUAUUAUAAAAAGUCUUAUGUUAAAUAAUGAGUGACACUGUGAUUUAAUGAAUAAGGAUUUUAUUUAUGUGAUUGUAUAAAUGAGUUUGUUUAUAUGACUAAAUAAACAAUUUGUCAAAGUUAGCACUGAUGUUAAUGAAAUUUUAAUGAGACCGUUGUUAAUAAAAGAGAUAAGUAAUGUUUUCUUUAAAAUUGCUAAAAGUACUCGGGGCCGAGGCUUCCAUGUGAGAUUUUUCCAUAUAAAAUGAGUACGUUGAACGAGGAUGUUUGUCGUGUUAUACUUGAUUAUUUUGAGAAUAUAAUUAUAAAUAAUAAUACAGUGAUAAUUCUUAACCCUAAAGGUAGUAACUCUCAAAGCCUGAAAAAUUAUCGACCUAUAAGUCUUUGUAACGUCAUAUAUAAAGUGAUACCAAAGUGUAUUUAAUCAUCUCCGGUUGAUUUUUGAGGAUCUCAUAUCUGAAACCAAAACUGUAUUUGUGGUAGAUUCAUGUCGGACAAUUGGAUCAUCUCUUUCGAAUAUUUUCAUAUGAUUCAGCAUAGUAAGAGCCAAUUUAUUACGCAUUCUGCCUAAAAGUUGGAAUUUCGAUAAGCAUAUGACAGGGUGGACUAGCGAUUACUUGGGGCUGCCAUUCGCAAGUUUGGUUUCAACCUAGGUGAGUUGUUUGGGUUAUGAUGUGUGUUCGCUCGGGGAGAUACUCAAUUAGGUGCAAUGGUGAGCUGCUGGAUUUUUUCCAAGACUAUUAGGGGGUUGCAACAAAGAGAACCAUUAAGUGAGUACUUAUUAUUCAUUGUUAAUGACAUUGUUAGGAUCUAACAAGGUGGUCUCGGUUGGGAGAUUGGCAUCAUUAAGUUGACUCAAAUAGUCCAGGUAUCUCUAAUAUUCUUUUUGACAAUGAUAGUUUGGUGUUUUCAAAGCUUCGGUGGACGAAGCUACAAUUAUUCAACAAUCUUUGACCUUGUUUCAAAGGUGCUCCGUCCAAUAUUUGAGUAAUGCUAAAUGCUCACCUUUAUUCAGUGAGAUGUGUCGUGUCAUACUAGGGAAGCGAUUAUGGAAUUGGUGAAGGUAAACUCUAAUGCAUCUUUUAUUCCAGAAACUGGCAGUAGCGCAAUUAGCAUUGUAGCUCGCAACCAUUUGGGUCAUGUCUUUGUUUCUACAUGCAAGCGAGUUGGAAAUUGUCGGUCUAUAGAGGAAGCUGAAGUCUGCACUGCUCUAGUCGGCCUAUCUUUGCUGGGUCGUUUCUACAAAGGAAGACCAAUGAUACCGGAGCUAGACUGUUCGGUGGUGGCAAAAGAGUUAGAAGCUCGGGAGCUAGCUCUGUCAGCCUCUUUUCCUCUCAUGUGAGACACCAAGAUGGUCCUUGCCGACUUCUCAUCAUAUAAGAUCAGCAUUGUUAGCAUGUUUUUGUGUGUUAGUGUUGGCUGUGUGCAUGCUAUCUAUGGAAAGCUCGGGUGUGUGCUCAUGAUGUUUGUAUCCUCUUCAUGCUCCAUGUGAGCCAAUAGAAUCCAUACUUUGUCCAAAAAUCAUAUCGGUAUUGUAGGUAUAGACUGAAAUAAGUUCGCCCACGAGCUGGCGCCAUUAACCAAGAGAGAUGGUGACUAGGAGGUGAAUGUUGAUUUUUUUUCUCAAAGAAGGGCUUCCCCCUUCCAUUUUCAUUACUGAAAACCCACUGCAGAACCAAAGUAUUCAUCCUAACACUAACAGAUUCCAACGCAACGCAGCAUACAACCACAUAACCAAAAGCCAUCAAGGCCUGCGGUCUGCCUAACCCAUCAUCCUGGGAUUACAAAGUUCACGAGGACACCAAAAUAACAGCAAAGAACUACUAAAACAUCGCAACAACGUAAAGGCCACAUCUUCAGCAGGAAUUAGAGUCUUCUUUUUCAUCCUUCCAGUCUUGCCAUGUUGAUUCUCCACCCCUGCUUCGCUAUGUACACUUCACUUGCUACUCGCUCUAGCAGUCUUGCUCCCAGCUCCAACACCUUUUUUAGCAGCUCCUUUGUCUGCAAGAUAGACCAAUCAACCAACCAAUUACCCAUUAGUUUGAUUAUAUAGAAAGGAUCAUUUAUCCUUUUGUUUUCAAAGAUAAUCCCAUUUCUACUCUUCCAAAUGGCCCAAAACAAAGCAGAUACCCCCACCAUUACCAGCUUCUUAUCAUCCCUGCUAAACUUGCUUAGCCAAUCCCCAAAACAAUCCCUGACAUUUAGGGGAGUGGUUUUAAGCCCACACGACACAUCUGACUAGUCCCCACAUCAAGGAUGCAACUGAGCAAUCGAAAAACAGAUGAUCAACUGAUUCAUCUUUUCCAUAGAGCACACAUUGAGGGAGUCCUGGAUUAUGGGGUCCUCGGGGAGUCGGCCUAUGUGACAUGGGCCGGACUGAUGGGCCGUGAAGAUACAAGACACAAGGCCUUCUCCCCUGCCCGGAUGGGACUCUCCUUUGCGUGGAUGGCAAGCUUGGCGUCCGGAUGUGUAGUUUCUUUCCUAUGUAAACCAACCUUGUACAACCCUAGCCCCCUCCGGUGUCUAUAUAAACCGAAGGGUUUAGUUCGUAGAGGCAUAUCAUAAUCAUACAAGCUAGACAUCUAGGGUUUAGCCAUUACGAUCUCGAGGUAGGUCGACUCUUGUAACCCCUAUACUCAUCAAAGUCAAUCAAGCAGGAAGUAGGGUAUUACCUCCAUUAGGAGGGCCCGAACCUGGGUAAACAUCGUGUCCCCUGCCUCCUGUCACCUUCGAUCCUUAGAUGCACAGUUCAGGACCCCCUACCCGAGAUCUUCCGGUUUUAACACCGACAUUGGUGCUUUCAUUGAGAGUUGCCCUGUGCUGUCGGCAGAAGGGUCGAUGGCUCGUUCGAUUAUCUACAACAAUGCCGCCUUGAGGGAGACUUUCCUCCCCGGCCAAGUUUUCGGAUUAGGCGGCUUCGCACUGCGCGCCAACUCGAUUGGCCAUCUGGAGCAGAUCGAUAGCUACGCCCCUGGUCAUCAGUUCAGUUUUGGAAAUCUGAACUACGUCGCUGAUAUCCGAGGAGACUUGAUCUUCCAAGGGUUCACGGCCCCGACCACCGCUCUGGCCUCCGAUCCGAAGCAUAUCACCAGGUCCGAAGACGGGAGUCUAGAACCCGCGACUCUUUGCAACUAUAGAGCCUGUCACCGGAGGAUCGGAGGGGAUCGUGUCACCGGCAGGCCUGGAGUUACACUGGGCUCCCUCUACCAUCAUAAAGCCGGACUCGCCUCCGGACACUAGCUCCAAACUCACGAGGUCUGCAUCAUGUGAGCUCGGCCAGGAAACUUCUGUCCCGCCCAACUCCACGGACUCUCGUAUCCCCGUCCAACCCUCACUCUUAAACGAGGCUCUGGACUUAAUGCGGUCCCUCGCCAUUACAGAGGAAUCAUUGCCAAACUACGCCCAGCCCGGACUAGGGGCUGAGAGCGGGGAAUUUUACGUCCCACCCACCACCCACUUCAUAGCCACUGUCGAGGAUUUAACCGACAUGCUGGACUAUGCCUCCGCAGACGUCGACGACAUGCACGACGAUGCCGGAAACGAGCAAGGCCAAGACCCGCCGUUUACCGGACAUUGGAAGGCCACUUCCACAUAUGACAUGUAUAUGGUGGACACGCCCAAAGAGGACGACGAUGACGGCAGGAGGGAUCCGGUGGAGGACAAGCCUGCUGACGCACCUCCAAAGCGUCGACGCCAGCGGCGCCGAUCAAAAUCGCGUCGUGGCAAAGACAGUAACACCGACACCGGAGACGAUAACGCUCCAUAUAACAUCAAAGACCCCGAAGCCCCCGUCGAACCCACAUCCGAACCAGAUGAUGUGGAGGAGGGGCAAAUUAACCCUGAUGACCCAGUCGGGAACGAGGACUCGGAGGAUAGUAACUAUCUACCAAUCUCUGAGGACGAUGUGAGCCUCGGUAACGAAGACUUCAUCGUACCAGAGGAACACCUCGAGCAGGAGCGCUUUAAGCGCCAAUUAAUCGCGACUGCAAGAAGCCUAAAAAAGCAGCAGCAACGGCUUCAAACCGAAUAGGAUAUGCUCAACGACAGGUGGACUAAAGUCCUGGCAGCCGAGGAAUAUGGCCUCGAACGCCCAACCAAGAGCUACCCAAAGUGCAAGCUGCUACCCCAAUUCGACGAAGAGGCCCUUGAGCCAAUACCAUCAAAGUAUAAACCAGCUGACAAACCUGACCGACCACCACGCGGACGGGACAGACCGGCUACUUACACCGAACACCAACCCGCACCACCCCGCCGCCGAGGCAGGGAGGCAGCGGCCCAAGGCUAUACCUAUGACCUACGCAAGGACCUAGAAAAUAGAGCCGGUCAAACAAGAUCAAUCUAUUGGUCACGGGGGCGUGCUCCAAUGCGCAAAGACGGCCAUCAGGCCUGGCGCGAAAGGCACAACCCCACCCGGGCCGAAAACCGCAUUCGGACUUCAUCCGAACUGCGCCGCGACAUCGCCCAAUACAAAGGCGCCGCACAUCCCCUAUGCUUCACCGAGGAGGUAAUGGAGCACCAGUUCCCAGAAGGGUUUAAACCCGUGAACAUUGAAUCGUACGAUGGCACAACAGAUCCCGCAGUAUGGAUCGAAGAUUUUCUUCUCCACAUUCACAUGGCCCAUGGUGAUGACCCACAUGCCAUCAAAUACCUCCCCCUAAAACUCAAGGGACCAGCAUGGCACUGGCUGAACAGCCUCCCAGAAAACUCUAUUGGCGGCUGGGAAGACCCGGAGGAUGACUUUAGAGACAACUUCCAAGGUACCUAUGUUCGGCCACCAGACGCCGAUGACCUUAGUCACAUAGUCCAGCAACCCGGAGAAUCAGCCCGGAAGCUAUGGACCAGGUUCUUAAUUAAAAAGAAUCAAAUUGUGGACUGUCCAGACGCCGAAGCCCUUGCGGCCUUUAAACACAGCGUCCGGGACGAGUGGCUAGCCUGACACCUCGGCCAAGAAAACCGAAGUCCAUGGCAGCCCUCACCGCACUAAUGACCCACUUUUGCGCGGCGGAAGACAGCUGGCUAGCUCGUAGAAGAAAUAGCACCAGCGACCCUGGCACCUCCGAGGCUAGGGAUGGCAAUGGUAAGCCACGACGCAACAAACAUAAGCGUCGAAAUAACAAUGAAGAUACCGAAGACAUGGUGGUCAACGCCGGAUUCGGUGGCUCCAAACCCGGUCAACGGAAGAAGCCAUUCAAAGGAAAUAAAGAUGGUCCAUCUAGUUUGGAUAGAAUACUCGAUCGGCCUUGCCAGAUUCAUGGCACCCCCGAUAAGCCUGCCAACCAUACCAACAGAAAUUGUUGGGUCUUCAAACAGGCCGGCAAGCUCAACACCGAACACAAGGGGAAAGGGCCGCCCAGCAAGGACGACGACGAAGAGCCUCGCCCACCGAACACUUGGGGACAGAAGAAAUUUCCCCCCGAGAUCAAAACGGUGAAUAUGAUCUACGUCACUCAUAUCCCUAAACGGGAGCGAAGGCGCGCCUUAAGGGACGUCUAUGCCAUAGAGCCAGUCGCCCCAAAAUUCAACCCAUGGUCAGCCUGUCAGAUCACUAACGAUUGCAGGGACCAUCCGACCAGUAUCCGUCAUGGAGGCUCAGCCGCACUGGUCCUUGAUCCCAUUAUCGACGGAUUUCACCUCACGCGCGUCCUUAUGGACAGUGGCAGCAGUCUCAACCUGCUUUAUCAGGACACCGUCCGUAAAAUGGGCAUUGAUCCAUCAAGAAUCAAGCCCACUAAAACCACCUCUAAAGGGGUAAUUCCCGGCGUAGAGGCCUGCUGCACAGGAUCCAUAACGCUGGAAGUCGUCUUCGGCUCACCGGAUAAUUUCUGGACCGAAGACCUUAUCUUCGACAUCGUCCUGUUUCGCAGUGGCUACCACGCACUACUCGGACGAACCGGAUUCGCCUGUUUCAAUGCAGUCCCGCAUUAUGCUUAUCUAAAGCUCAAGAUGCUCGGACCGCGCGGCGUCAUAACAGUCAAUGGAAACAUGGAGCGCUCCCUCCGUACAGAGAGCAUGCCGCGGCCCUCGCAGCCGAAGUACAUGGUGGCCUCCUUAAGCCGAAUACUACGUCAGCACCAGACACUGUCAAACGAGUCCGGUCUACCCUGCAGAAUGGAAGUCCGGCUUGUUCAGAGCUAGACUAGCAAUUCAGCCUCCGUCAGGGCCUCAACCUGAUAGCGACAUAUGUACCGCGCGCACAUCACUACACAUUAAAAAUACCAUGGGCAAGGACGGAGGCCUACCAAAAAUAAGGUCGACAAUACGGUCCGACCCGAUCCGGACCUUCCUAUUUUUCUUCCCUCUUCUCUUUAUUUUUCAGGUUCUUUACAACCCACAUCACCUUUCGAUGCUACUAAGGGCCCUUUUCCUAGGCCCCUUACGAAUACUCCACCGUUGAUCCUCUCAGGGAUCAUACAUCAAGGAGAAAAGCAGUGCAGACAUGCGACAGAGUGCCCAAAGGAUCUUCAAGAUCAUCUUUUCAAUUUUAGGACAUGUAUACAGCUUUCCCUUGUCCUCGGCAUGUAAAAUAGCCGUGAUGCUCAUCGCAUCCUCUGUAAAAAUACGUUUUAACGUAUCAAUCAGAUUAAAAUGGAAAUAGUUUCGCCCAUCCUUGUUUGGUAUUGGUUUUUCUGCUAAUUUGUUUUUUUCCAAUUCAUGUCUGAAUUGGCAUAUACACCCCGGUGCGACUUAAAUCACCAGGGGCUUUAUUCAAGCCAUAUAUCUUCAACAAAUCAAAAGUCCGAACACUCUUAUAGUACACUUCGGUGUCCCAAAUACAGCUUUAUAUGCAUCGACUCCGAAUCACAUCUUUGGUCAAUAGUUGGGUUGCCUGGCUCCUGUGAUUGCUACCUUAUGUUUCAUUUUCGGCCAAGGUAGUAAAGGGAGAACUACUGCGAUUGUGUUUCUGGCUGGCCCGGUCAAGCACCUCAGUAAAGAAAGCCGAAAACUGACUGUCGUGAUGCGUCGAGAGCCGGUCAGCAAUUCGGUGACUUAUUAAAUCUCUAGCGAUUUCUUCCGUAUUAUAUGAAGGGCCGAUUCUUUUCCGCCAUGCGUUUAGAGGCAUCUAGGUUCGACAACCGCAUACGCACUAGGGGCUAUCUUACAACCCCACUGUCAAACUCCUAUGGCUAAGUGAGAAUGAUAAAGCCACAUAGUCCGAUUGCCUGGUUCGUCGCACUAACACCUCCUUCACGGACCAAGACGUUGGGUCAAGUGUGGAUAUGUGCCAUCUUGAACACCCCCGUAGUAUCUACGUGGGGGCUGAAGCCGACGACUGGCAAAUUCUCAGUAAUAAAAACGGCCGCACAGGAGGAAAAACACUUUACGAUAAACGGUAUAAAUAUAUCACAAAGCUUUGGUUUAUACAACAUCCAGGCAGUUCGGACACAUUAAUUCGAAUACAAUGUCCUUUGAGCACUGGCCCUCUAUCAAACGGGCACCCUCAAGGACAUCUUCAAAGUAACGCUCUGGCUUGCGGUGGUCCUUGCCUCCGGGUGGACCCUCAACUGCGACGUCGGCGGCCUUCAUCUUUGCCCAAUGCAUCUUGACACGGGCAAAGGCCAUCCGCGCGCCUUCUAUGCACGCCGAGCGCUUGAUAGCAUCCACUCAGGAUAAGACGUCAGCAAGUCGCCGCACUAGGCCGAAAUAGCUGCUCGGAAUGGGCUCGGCUGGCCACAGCCGGACUAUGACGUCCUUCAUGGCUGCUCCAGACAUCUUAUGCAGCUCGGCCCACUGCGCCAUUUGGUCGUUCAACAGCGCCGAGCGCUCCUGCGCCGCGAACUGCGACCAGAACAGCUUCUCCGUCGCAUGCCCCUCCUGGGCUCGGAAGAAUUGCACGGCGUUGGUGGCACUCUUCGGAAGAUCCGCCAAAGCGUCUGGAGAACUCCAUAGUCAAUUAAGCAAGGCAUCCCUCUGAUCGCCAAACUUAGACUGUAAAAGAAAGGGCUUACCAGCCGCUAUCUAUCCGGCCUGCCGGAUCUCCUCGUGAGCCGCUCGGGAUUCGGACCUCGCCUCUUGGGCUUCCUGAAGGGCCUUGGUGAGUUCGGCCGCCUUAGCUUUAUUCUCCUCCUCGAGGGACUCGCACCUGCGAGAGGCGUCCUUGAGCUCUUGCUCCACUCUGGACACCCACUCCUCGAACUGACGCUGGGUGGCCUGUUCGGCCUUUAAAUCUGCAGCCGCUUUAUCAGCGGCCGCAUUGCUUACCCUUGCCUGCUCCUUCGCCCGGGCAAGGUCACCCCUGAGGGUUUCGACUUCAGCUGCGCCAUCUGCAAUUAUGCAUAUAGCAGCGCGUAAAGCUUCAACUUAGUGUUUGCAAAUCAACACAAUCAUGUACGGAGUAUUUGAAAGAUACCUUGCGCCUCGUCAAGCCGCUUGUUAAUAAGGAUAAUGUCCUCGUCGGCCUGCUGCAGUUUCUACUUCAGUUCGGAAACUUCGGCGGCCUGAGCGGUCGCCGCUAACAGUGAAGCCUGUUUUUUACCAAAAUAAUAAGUAUGUUAUUUCCUGCGGAUGUCUAUAGGUCCUCUGUUCGCCCUUCUUCCUCGGCCGAACAAAGUCUCAGGGGCUACUAUCUAUGUACAGGCAUAUUUUCCAUAUUGAAAGCGGCUAAAGGCAUUACAUCGCAUACCUCGAAGCGUGUUAGUAGGCUCGUAAAGGCUGCAUUCAGCCCGCUUUUAGCAGACUGAAUCUUCUCAACCAUCGUACCCAUCAAGGUACGAUGCUCCUCCAAAACGGACGCGCUUUGCAGAGCGUCCAUCAGCAUGUUCGUCGCCUCCGGAUUAAUAGAGGUCGCCGCCAGAAUAGCCGUUUUCCCCUCCCUCGAAGGGGGUUGCUGAUUCGAUUCCGGAGUUGUUUGUAUCUCUGGAGCAGUAUCCGGCCGGGGGUCGGAUGAUCUAAGACCCCCGUCGCCGGUCUCCAUGAGGGUUGCGCUCCCCAUGUUCUCGGCAGCCAAGGUGUUAUCCUCUGCGCCGUCUUGGUCCUCUCGCGCACUUCUCCGAUACCCGGAGAGAUCAUUUGGGACGACACCUCGGUGUCAUCCGCCCUCGGAGACGGGGAAGCUGGUGGAGGCGUCUCGCUCUCCAUCAUCUCUGGCGGCAAAUCCCCCGACGAGGAGGAUUGUUGAGGGAGGUCAUGGGCCGGACUGCAAAACGUGAUUUAGUAUCAUUCUCACAACUCGUAAAGGAUUGGAUGUAUGUAAAGCAUCUUUGGGUACUUACGAUUCGGCAAGGGGCUUGGCACGCGGGCGGUGCUUAGGGAUUGCUUCGGCGUCUGAAUCCGAGUCGUCCGGGAGGGAUAACUUUCCCCUCUUGGACACCCCCGCCUCCGGAUCCGUGGAAGCCGCCCUCUUUUUCCCCUUAUGAGGAGGGUUAUCUUCUUCUUCCUCCUCCUCGACUCCCUCGUGAUAGGAGGGAGCCUCGGCCCCUCCGGAGUUAGCAUCCAAAGUAUCUUUAUGGUGAAGGCCACUUUCGACCUCCUUGCCCUUUUUCUUCUUGUCCUUCUUCACCGGCGCCUUGUAUGGCACCGGAGCCAGCAUCUUCAUUAGGAGAGGAUCAUCUCGGUCUUCAGGGAGGGGGGCCGAACACCUGAUCCGCUCCGCCUUCUUUGUCCAACCAUGUUUAAAGGAUAGAAUUCUCAGUGUAUCCCCUUGGAUUGAUGAACCAAGCCAUGUGCGGAAAUUUAACCCUUACCGGGGUGGCCGGAUGGUUGCAGUCAAGGCCGAUGUCCUCGAACGUCUCUGGCCACGAUUUUUGUGAUUUAAAGAGUUGUUUCCAGAUCUCUUUAUGUGUCGUUCCAAAGAGUCGUUGCAGAGUCCGCGGCCCUUCCGGAUUAAACUCCCACAUACGGAGAGGCCGUCGCUGGCAGGGAAGGUUUCGGCGGACAAGCAUCACCUCGAUCACAUUGGUAAGGCGGGCGUCCUUUUCUAUAGUACUCUUGACGCGUUUUUGCAGCUUCAACACCUCGUCGGACGAUCCCCAGUCCGGACCCUUAUUGAUCCACGACGCGAGCUGCAGCGGGGGUGCGAAUCUGAAUGUCGGAGCGGCUGCCCACUUGGUGCCGCGAGGUUCGGUGAUGUAGAACCACUCCUGCUGCCAUGUCUUGACGGUCUCCACAAAGGCCCCUUGAGGCCAAGUAACGUUGGGAAGCUUGCUCACCAUGGCACCGCCGCAAUCCGCGUGCUCCCCGUCGACCACCUUCGGCUUCAAGUUGAAGACCUUGAGCCAUAAGCCGAAGUGUGGGGGGUGCGGAGAAAUGCCUCGCACACGACGAUAAACGCCGAGAUGUGGAGGGAGGAGUUCAGGGCUAGAUCAUGAAAAUCUAGCCCGUAAUAGAACAUAAGACCGCGAACAAAGGGGUGAAGGGGAAACCCUAACCCGCGGAGGAAGUGAGGGAUGAACACAACCCUCUCGCCGGGCUCUGGAGUAGGGAUGGCCUGCCCCUUGGUUGGGAGACUAUGCGCGAUUUCCGCGAUCAAGUACCUCACCUCCCGGAGUUCCUUGAUAUCUUUCUUCAUCAAGGAGGAAGCCAUCCACUUGCCCUGCGCUCCAGAUCUGGACAUGGCUAGGAUGUUUGGUGGUGAUGGAAAAGAUCGAAGCUUGGGCGCUGGAGAUCGAGGACGGAAGGGCAGAGGAAGAAGAAGGCGUGAGGUGACAAGAUGGGUCCUUAUCCUCUUAUAAAGGCAGCGAAUAUCAAGCCUUAAACCUCGCCUAUUCCUAAGGGGACAUGCGAACGGCACGGUUGGAUUACCCAAACCCGUAUUGAUGAGAAUCCUGUGAUAAGGGCACACGAUCUCUGCUUUGACAAGACGUGUGCAUGCCCGUGCCUCGAAACGCGAAGCGGGUGCUAUAAAACGGUUCAGAAUAAUAACAAGGCCAGAACAUAAUGUCUCGCCAAAAAAAGUUGUCCGUGGAUGGGACUUAUUUUGUUUUAAGUAUUUUUGCCCAUACAGGCUAGGGUUGUAAUUAUUAAACAGAGCCGGAUACAGUUUUUAUGUGCGGAAGACUGCUUUGGAGUAUUCGGAGAAGGAACCCGCCAUGCAAUGCCGAAGACAAUCAGCGCGCCGGAUACAUCAUCAUUGAAGCCCGGUUCAGGGGCUACUGAGGGAGUCCUGGAUUAUGGGGUCCUCGGGGAGCCGGCCUAUGUGACAUGGGACGGACUGAUGGGACGUGAAGAUACAAGACACAAGGCCCUCUCCCGUGUCCGGAUGGGACUCUCCUUUGCGUGGAUGGCAAGCUUGGCGUCCGGAUGUGUAGUUUCUUUCCUCUGUAAACCGACCUUGUACAACCCUAGCCCCCUCCGGUGUCUAUAUAAAUCAGAGGGUUUAGUUUGUAGAGGCAUAUCAUAAUCAUACAAGCUAGACAUCCAGGGUUUAGCCAUUACGAUCUCGAGGUAUAUCAACUCUUGUAAUCCCUAUACUCAUCAAAGUCAAUCAAGCAGGAAGUAGGGUAUUACCUCCAUUAGGAGGGCCCGAACUUGGGUAAACAUUGUGUCCCUUGUCUCCUGUCACCUUCGAUCCUUAGACGCACAGUUCGGGACCCCCUACCCGAGAUCUGCCGGUUUUGACACCGACACACAUCUCUUCCCUCCUUUCCAUCCUUUUUCAGCACAGUAUCUCUGGUUAAGAUACUUUUCCUAUUAACUAGCCACAUAAAACUUUAAUUUUUGCAGGCACUUUGGUCUUCCACAGAAAUUUUUCUGUGGAAAUUUCAGACCAAGAGUGAUUAUUUUCCUGUACAAGGAUCCCACAGAGAAACUGUGAUCUGCAGUGAGGGUCCAGGUAAUUUUAUCCCUUCCCCCCUGCAUAGUCACUUCCUCACAUCUGCCUUUUAGGCUAUUCCACAGUUCUAGGGUUUCCCCAUAUAAGGUUCUUCUAAAUUUAAAUCCUUGCCAUCCUUUUUGUAUGGCCUCGUCCACAGUUAUAUUGUGGUCAAAACAAAUAUCAUACACUCUAGAGUAAGCUUCUUUUAAAGGUUUAUCAUCUACCAAGGUAUCUUCGCAAAACCUGAUCUUCUUCCCAUCCCCUCAGUGUUUUUUGACAAAUUAUAAAUAUUUCUUUAAUUUUCAUAAGACUAGCCCAAAAUUGGGAGUCUCCAGGUUUCUUAGCUAUUAGAGCUAAGCAUUUCCCCCUCCAUAUUUUCUGCUAAGUAUAUCUUGCCAUAAUCCUUCCUUUGUUUCCAUUUUCCAAAGCCAUUUAGCCAAUAAUGCAAUAUUCAUCACCUCCAAAUUUAGGAUUCCCAGCCCCCCCACAUCUUUAGGUAAGCAACAUUUCUCCCACUUAACUAAAUGGUAUUUUUUUAUGUUCUCAUCUUCUUGCCAUACCAGCCUAGCCCUGAAAAAAAUCUGCUUUUUUAAUAAUCCCUUUUGGGACAGCAUAGAAGGACAUCAUAAAAAGUGGAAUGUUAGUCAGACAUGCUUGCACCAGGGUUAUUCUGCCAGCAAUAGAACCUAACAUCUUCCCCUGCCAGCAACUGCAUCUUUUUUCAAUUUUGUUAGUCACACAACUCCAGUGUAUGUUUCUAAUUCUAGCAUCUGACACAGGCAUCCCCAAAUAUCUGAUAGGUAGCUCCCCCAACUUACAUGUCAAAAUUUCCUGAUAUAACAUCUGUUUCUCUUUAGCUUUUCCAAAUAACAUCAGCUCACUCUUAUGGAAAUUUAUUUUGAGGCCUGACAUUUGUUCAAAUGCUCCCAGUAUAAAUUUGAGAUUUCUUACACUUUCUACAUCAUCUUUUAUCAGGAAGAUAGUGUCAUCUGCAUACUGCAGCAUAUUGACACCUUUAUUAUCUUCCCCUCUCAACACUCCCUUCACUACAUCAUGUUCCAAGGCAUUGUUCAUUAAAAUAGCUAGAGCAUCUGCAGCCAAGUCAAAAAGCAACGGUGACAUAUCAUCACCUUGUCUUAACCCUUUAAAAGUUUUAAAAUAUGGCCCAAUUUCAUCGUUCACCUUAACCCCUACAUGUCCUCCCCUCAUGGUCUCCAUCAUCCAGUCACACCACUUAUCAGGGAAUCCUUUUAGGUUUGACAUUUGUAUUACAAAAGGCCAUUUAAUUUUAUCACAUGCUUUCUCAAAGUCUACUUUGAAAAUCAAAGCAUCUUCUUUUUCCUUAUGAAAAGUGUUCAGAGCUUCAUGUAAAAUCACUACUCCCUCCAUAAUAUAUCUACCCUUAAUAAAGGCAGUUUUGGUUUUAGAUAUCACAGGGGAUACGCAUCUAGUCAACCUGUUCAUCAACACUUUAGUUAUGAUCUUAAAACUAACAUUCAGAGGGCAAAUAGGCCUGAAUUUUUGAAUUUGUUUAGCUUCAUUGGUUUUGGGGACAAGAGUUAUGAUGCCAUAAUUAAGCAUGGCAAUAUUGAUUUCUCCUUUAGCAAAACCCUCAACCAAUGCUUUUAAAUCCCAUUUAAUCAAGUCCCAGAAUUCCUGAUAAAAAUCAGCAGGGAAUCGAUCAGGUCCAGGACUUUUGUUCCUUUUCAUCCGAAAGACCACCUGAUGUAUUUCAUCCAAAGAGAAAGGAGCCAAAAGCUCCUCCCUGUCUUGGAUGCUAAUCUUCUUCAUUUCUACCCCUUUCAUAGAGAUUUGUGUCUCUUCAGGAUGUCCAAACAAUUCUUUGUAAAAAUUAGUUAUGUAUUCCAUCAAUCUACUCUCUCCCUCCCUUCUUCUUGUUCUAAUGAAAUAAUCAUGUUUUUCCAUCUUCUUCCAUUUACCUUGGCAUAGUAGUAUCUAGUGUUCCCAUAUCCAUCAGUUAUCUCCCUAUCUUUGUAUCUUUGUGGCCAUUUUAUUUCUUCUUGCAACAUCACUCUUGUAAGUUGUGCUCUUAGCUCCUUCUGCUCAGUUCUAUCUGUGGCAGUUAGUCCCAUUUUCUCAGCUCUCUUGUCUAACUCAUCUAGCUCCUUAAUAAUAUCUAUCUUGAUUUUUCUAUACCAGGCAUCCACAUUCUUGUUCCAUCCCUUGGCUUUUUUCCUCAGGUUUCUCAGUCUUAGUUGCCAUCUCUUUAGAACAUACCAACUCUUUGAAUCCCCCACUCAAUGCCCAUGCAUUCUCAUAUCUGAAUGUAUAUUUGUGGUUUUGUGAUUCCCCUGUAUCUAGAAACAGGGGAGUAUGAUCAGAGAUUUCCCUAGCAAAAGCUUGUAAUAUAGUUAGUGGGUAUUUUUCCUCCCAAGCUGGACACAUCAGGACCCUAUCUAACUUCUCAUAUGUGGGAUUUUCCUGGUUGUUAGCCUAGGUGUAUAGUCUCCCAUUUAAAGGUAGCUCUCUCAACCCUGCUUGUUCAAUUAUAGCAUUAAACAUGAAAGACCACUGGUCAUUAUGAACAGGUUUGUUUUUGUCCUUCUCAUUUCUAAUGAUAUUAAAGUCACCACCCACCAAGCAGGGCAGUGGGUUAUCAUGAUAUAGUCUGGCAAGCUCAGCUAAGAAGCUAUCUUUUCAUUCUCUUUGAGCAUCUCCAUAAACAGUAAUCAAAUUCCAAUGCAUUUUGGUGUUUUUGUCAAACACCAAUAAUCUCAAAAAAUAUUGUCCAUUUUCUAUAUUUUCCACAUCAAAAAGAUUUGUUGGAAAUAUGCCCUAGAGGCAAUAAUAAAAUGGUUAUUAUUAUAUUUCCUUGUGCAUGAUAAUAGUCUAUUGUUCAUGCUAUAAUUGUGUUAUCCGGGAAUCGUAAUACAUGUGUGAACACAUAGACCAUAACAUGUCCCUAGUGAGCCUCUAGUUGACUAGCUCGGUGAUCAAUAGAUGGUUACGAUUUCCUGACCAUGGACAUUGGAUGUCAUUGAUAACGGGAUCACAACAUUAGGAGAAUGAUGUGAUGGACAAGACCCAAUCCUAAGCAUAGCACUAGAUCGUGUAGUUCGUUUGCUAAAGCUUUUCUAAUGUCAAGUAUCAUUUCCUUAGACCAUGAGAUCGUGCAACUCCCGGAUACCGUAGGAAUGCUUUGGGUGUACCAAACGUCACAACGUAACUGGGUGGCUAUAAAGGUGCACUACAGGUAUCUCCGAAAGUGUCUGUUGGGUUGGCACGGAUCGAGACUGGGAUUUGUCACUUCGUAUGACGGAGAGGUAUCUCUGGGCCCACUCGGUAUUGCAUCAUCAUAAUGAGCUCAAUGUGACUAAGUAGUUAGUCACGGGAUCAUGCAUUAUGGAACGAGUAAAGUGACUUGCCGGUAACAAGACUGAACGAGGUAUUGGGAUACCGACGAUCGAAUCUCGGGCAAGUAACGUACCAAUUGACAAAGGGAAUUGUAUACGGGAUUGCUUGAAUCCUCGACAUCGUGGUUCAUCCGAUGAGAUCAUCGUGGAACGUGUGGGAGCCAACAUGGGUAUCCAGAUCCCGCUGUUGGUUAUUGGCUAGAGAGGUGUCUCGGUCAUGUCUGCAUGAUUCCCGAACCCGUAGGGUCUACACACUUAAGGUUCGAUGACGCUAGGGUUAUAAGGAAGGUUUGUAUGUGAUUACCGAAUGUUGUUCGGAGUCCCGGAUGAGAUCCCGGACAUCACGAGGAGUUCCGGAAUGGUCUGGAGACGAAGAUUUAUAUAUGGGAAGUCCUUAUUCGGUCGCCGGAAGUGUUCGGGGGUAUAUCGAUAUUGUACCGGGACCACCGAAAGGGUUCCGGGGGUCCACCGGGAGGGUCCACCUUCCCCGGAGGGCCCUAUGGGCUGAAUAUAGAGAGGAACCAGCCCCUAGGUGGGCUUGGCGCCAAACCCCCCCUAGGGCCCAUGCGCCUAGGGUUGGGGGAAACCCUGGAGGGGGCGCCCCCCUUGCUUGAGGGGCAAGCCUCCCCCUUUGGCUGCCCCCCCCUCUAGAUCGAUCUGGAGGGGACCGGCCCCCUCUCCCUUGCCCCUAUAAAUAGAGGGGGGUUGGAGGGCUGCAGCACCACAUCCAAGGCGCAGCCCCUCCCCUCCCAAACACCUCUCCUCCUCCGCGUGUGCUUGGCGAAGCCCUACCGGAGAACUGUCACUCCACCACCACCACGCCGUCGUGCUGCUAUUGGAGCCUUCUUCCUCAACCUCUCCCUCCUCCUUGCCAGAUCAAGGCGCGGGAGACGUCACCGGGCUGCACGUGUGUUGAACGCGGAGGCACCGUUGUUCGGUGCUUGGAUCGGAUUCUGCCGCGAUCUGAAUCGCUACGUGUACGACUCCCUCAUCCGUGUUCUUGCAACGCUUCCGUCUCGCGAUCUUCAACGGUACGAAGAUGCACUCCCUUCUCUCUCGUUGCUAGUAAACUCCAUAGAUUGAUCUUGGUGAUGCGUAGAAAAUUUUAAUUUCUGCAACGAUCCCCAACAGUGGCAUCAUGAGCUAGGUCUAUGCGUAGUUUCUAUGCACGAGUAGAACACAAGUUGUUGUGGGCGUUGAUUUUGUCAAUUUACUUGCCGUUACUAGUCUUAUCUUAAUUCGGCGGCAUCGUGGGAUGAAGCGGCCUGGACCGACCUUACACGUACGCUUACGUGAGACAGGUUCCACCGACUGACAUGCACUAGUUGCAUAAGGUGGCUAGCGGGUGUCUGUCUCUCCCACUUUAGUCGGAUCGGAUUUGAUGAAAAGGGUCCUUAUGAAGGGUAAAUAGAAAUUGGCAUAUCACGUUGUGGUUUUGGCGUAGGUAAGAAACGUUCUUGCUAGAAACCUAUAGCAGCCACGUAAAAAAUUUGCAACAACAAUUAGAGGACGUCUAAGUUGUUUUUGCAGCAAGUGUCAUGUGAUGUGAUAUGGCCAGAAGGAUGUGAUGAAUGAUAUAUGUGAUGUAUGAGAUUGAUCAUGUUCUUGUAAUAGGAAUCACGACUUGCAUGUCGAUGAGUAUGACAACCGGCAGGAGCCAUAGGAGUUGUCUUAAUUUAUUUAUGACCUGCGUGUCAAGUGGAACGUCAUGUAAUUACUUUACUUUAUUGCUAACCGUUAGCUAUAGUAGUAGAAGUAAUGGUUGGCGAGACAACUUCAUGAAGACACGGUGAUGGAGAUCAUGAUGAUGGAGAUCAUGGUGUCAUGCCGGUGACGAUGAUGAUCAUGGCGCCCCGAAGAUGGAGAUCAAAAGGAGCAAAAUGAUAUUGGCCAUAUCAUGUCACUAUUUGAUUGCAUGUGAUGUUUAUCAUGUUUUACAUCUUAUUUGCUUAGAACGACGGUAGUAUAAAUAAGAUGAUCUCUCGCUAAAAUUUCAAGAAUUGUGUUCCCCCUAACUAUGCACCGUUGCUAAAGUCCGUUGUUCCGAAGCACCACGUGAUGAUCGGGUGUGAUAGGUUCUAACGUUCGCAUCCAACGGGUGUAAGCCAGAUUUACACAUGCAAUACACUUAGGUUGACUUGACGAGCCUAGCAUGUACAGACAUGGCCUCGGAACACAAGAGACCGAAAGGUCGAACAUGAGUCGUAUAGCAGAUACGAUCAACAUGAAGAUGUUCACCGAUGAUGACUAGUCCAUCUCACGUGAUGAUCGGACACGGCCUAGUUGACUCGGAUCAUGUAUCACUUAGAUGACUAGAGGGAUGUCUGUCUGAGUGGGAGUUCAUUAAUAAUUUGAUUAGAUGAACUUAAUUAUCAUGAACUUAGUCUAAAAUCUUUACAAUAUGUCUUGUAGAUCAAAUGGCCCACGCUAAUGUCAACCUCAACUUCAACGCGUUCCUAGAGAAACCAAGCUGAAAGACGAUGGUAGCAACUAUACGGACUGGGUCCGGAACUUGAGGAUCAUCCUCAUAGCUGCCAAGAAAGCAUAUGUCCAUGAAGCACCGCUAGGCGACCACCCGUCCCAGCAAACCAAGACGUUAUGAACGCCUGGCAAACACGUGUUGAUGAUUACUCCCUGGUUCAGUGCAGCAUGCUUUACAGCUUAGAACCGGGGCUCCAAAAGCGUUUCAAGCAGCACGGAGCAUAUGAGAUGUUCCAAGAGCUGAAAAUGGUUUUCCAAGCUCAUGCCCGGGUCGAGAGAUAUGAAGUCUCCGACAAGUUAGUUGUAAGAUGGAGGAGAAUAGUUCCGUCAGAGAACACAUACUCAAAAAUGUCUGGGUUGCACAACUGCUUGUCUCAGCUGGGAGUUAAUCUCCCGGAUGACGCGGUCGUUGACAGAAUCCUUCAGUCGCUCCCACCUAGCUACAAGAGCUUUGUGAUGAACUUCAAUAUGCAGGGGAUGGAAAAGAACAUUCCUGAGGUAUAUUCAAUGCUGAAAUCAGCGGAGGUGGAGAUCAAAAAGGAACAUCAAGUGUUGAUUGUGGAUAAAACCAAUAAGUUCAAGAAAGGCAAGGCUAAGAAGAACUUCAAGAAAGACGGCAAGGGAGUUGCCGCGCCCGGUAAGCAAGCUGCCGGGAAGAAGACAAAGAAUGGACCCAAGCCUGAGACUGAGUGCUUUUAUUCCAAGGGAAACGGUCACUGGAAGCGGAACUGCCCCAAGUACUUAGCGGAUAAGAAGGCCGGCAAUACCAAAGGUAUAUGUGAUAUACAUGUUAUUGAUGUGUACCUAACCAGCGCUCGUAGUAGCUCCUGGGUAUUUGAUACCGGUGCGGUUGCUCAUAUUUCUAACUCAAAGCAGGAGCUGCGGAAUAAGCGGAGACUGGCGAAGGGCGAGGUGACGAUGUGCGUCGGGAAUGGUUCCAAGGUCGAUGUGAUCGCCGUCGGCACGCUACCUCUACAUUUACCAACGGGAUUAGUUUUAAACCUCAAUAAUUGUUAUUUAGUGCCAGCUUUGAGCAUGAAAAUUGUAUCUGGAUCUCGUUUGAUGCGAGAUGGCUACUCAUUUAAAUCCGAGAAUAAAGGUUGUUCUAUUUAUAUGAGAGAUAUGUUUUAUGGUCAUGCCCCGCUGGUCAAUGGUUUAUUCUUAGUGAAUCUCGAACGUGAUGUUACACAUAUUCAUAGUGUGAAUGCCAAGAAAUGUAAGGUUGAUAAUGAUAGUCCCACAUACUUGUGGCACUGCCGCCUUGGUCACAUUGGUGUCAAACGCAUGAAGAAACUCGAUGCAGAUAGACUUUUGGAGUCUCUUGAUUAUGAAUCAUUUGACACGUGCGAACCAUGCCUCAUGGGCAAAAUGACCAAGACUCCAUUCUCCGGAACAAUGGAGCGAGCAACCAACUUAUUGGAAAUCAUACAUACUGAUGUGUGCGGUCCAAUGAGCGUUGAGGCUUGCGGUGGCUAUCGUUAUGUUCUCACCCUCACUGAUGACUUGAGUAGAUAUGGGUAUGUCUACUUAAUGAAACACAAGUCUGAGACCUUUGAAAAGUUCAAGGAAUUUCAGAGUGAGGUUGAGAAUCAACGUGACAGGAAAAUAAAGUUCUUACGAUCAGAUCGUGGAGGGGAAUAUUUGAGUCACGAAUUUGGCACACACUUAAGGAAAUGUGGAAUUGUUUCACAACUCACGCCGCCUGGAACACCUCAGUGUAAUGGUGUGUCCGAACGUCAUAAUCGCACUCUAUUGGAUAUGGUGCGAUCUAUGAUGUCUCUUACCGAUCUACCGCUAUCAUUCUGGGGUUAUGCUUUAGAGACUGCCGCAUUCACUUUAAAUAGGGCUCCGUCGAAAUCCGUUGAGACGACACCGUAUGAAUUAUGGUUUGGAAAGAAACCUAAGCUGUCGUUUCUUAAAGUUUGGGGAUGCGAUGCUUAUGUCAAGAAACUUCAACCUGAAAAGCUCGAACCCAAGUCAGAAAAAUGCGUCUUCAUAGGAUACCCUAAGGAAACCAUUGGGUAUACCUUCUACCUCAGAUCCGAAGGCAAGAUCUUCGUUUCCAAGAACGGGUCCUUUCUGGAGAAAGAGCUCUCGAAAGAAGUAAGUGGGAGGAAAGUGGAACUUGAUGGGAUAACCCCUCUCGAACCAGAAAGUAGCGCAGCACAAGAAAAUGUUUCUGUGGUGCCUGCACCGACUAGAGAGGAAGUUAAUGUUGACGAUCAUGAUCAAGUUACCACUGAACAUCGUAGGUCUACAAGGACACGUUCUGCACCAGAGUGGUAUGGCAACCCUAUCCUGGAAAUCAUGUUGUUGGACAACGGUGAACCUUCGAACUAUGAAGAAGCAAUGGCGGGCCCAGAUUCCAACAAAUGGCUUGAAGCCAUGCAAUCCAAGAUAGGAUCCAUGUAUGAAAACAAAGUAUGGACUUUGACAGACUUGCCUGAUGAUCGGCGAGCGAUAGAAAAUAAAUGGAUCUUUAAGAAGAAGACGGACGCGGAUGGAAAUGUUACCAUCUAUAAAGCUCGACUUGUUGCUAAGGGUUAUCGACAAGUUCAAGGAGUUGACUACGAUGAGACCUUCUCACCUGUAGCGAAGCUAAAGUCCGUCCGAAUCAUGUUAGCAAUUGCCGAAUUCUACGAUUAUGAAAUAUGGCAAAUGGACGUCAAAACGGCAUUCCUUAACGGCUUCCUUAAGGAAGAAUUGUAUAUGAUGCAGCCGAAAGGUUUUGUCGAUCCUAAGAAUGUUGACAAGGUAUGCAAGCUCCAGCGCUCAAUCUAUGAGCUGGUGCAGGCAUCUCGGAGUUGGAACAUUCGCUUUGAUGAGAUGAUCAAAGCGUUUGGGUUUACACAGACUUAUGGAGAAGCCUGUGUUUACAAGAAAGUGAGUGGGAGCUCUGUAGCAUUUUUCAUAUUAUAUGUGGAUGACAUACUAUUGAUGGGAAAUGAUAUAGAAUUCUUGGAAAGUAUAAAGGCCUACUUGAAUAAGUGUUUUUCAAUGAAGGACCUUGGAGAAGCUGCUUACAUAUUAGGCAUCAAGAUCUAUAGAGAUAGAUCGGGACGCCUCAUAGGUCUUUCACAAAGCACAUACCUUGACAAGAUAUUGAAGAAGUUUAAUAUGGAUCAGUCCAAGAAGGGGUUCUUGCCUGUAUUGCAAGGUGUGAGAUUGAGCACGGCUCAAUGCCCGACCACGGCAGAAGAUAGAGAAAAGAUGAGUGUCAUCCCCUAUGAACAAUCACAAUAUUAGCAUCUAUCCCUUUAGGGUUAUUUCCCCCCCAAUUUAACAUACCCCUGAUCUCCAUAAUCUCUCCCCCCUCCUUGCUCACUAAUUUUGCAUAUACUUUUGUUGUAUUCCUCUACAGCUCGGGAUUGAAACCCUUUUUUGUUUCUAAUUUUGGAUCUAAAUCCUCUCAUCCCUUUUUUGCUAAUUUCCCUAGCAUCAUCUGCAUCAAUCGAUGAAGUAGAUGCUAAGUAUUUGGCGUGUUUUUUUCAUACCUAAAGAGAAGAUAGAGGCCUCCCCCUCCCCCUCCUCCUCGGAGCACUCCCCGGCUAGCAACCAGAAGCGAUUGCCGGCCGGCGAGCAUCCUACUAGCGGCGGGAGAGAGCUUGGAGGUGAGGGGAGCGCCUCGGGAAGCGGGGAGAGCGUCGAGGAAGCGAUGUCAGAGUCGCUGAAGCCCUGAUCCGUCGCCUUGGUGGUUCCGCCUCCUCCUCGUCUCCCUCGAUCUCGAUCGGCAUCCACCUGGACCGGGGUGCCGGAAUCCCCAUCACCACCGCAUGCGGUGGCGCCGACGGGUGGAUCUGACGGUAGCGGAGAGACCGAAACACCUUCCACUUCUCCCUCUGCUCCGGGAUCGGCAACUCCACCUCAAGCAUUGCCCAGAGCAGCACCCCCAUCGCCGGCUGGCGGUCGUAGUUGGGGAAGCACUUGAGGAUUUCCUCCCCCUUGAGCUUGUCCCUCACCAUCCCCGACGCGUCGUUGAGCGCCUUCGCCGUCGGAAACCAGCGGUCGAUCUCCUUCAACCUCCCCAUCAUCACCUCGUCGCCGGCGGCCAGCGCCCACAUCUGCUGCUCGCAUGUCAUCAUCGAACCCUAGCUCUCGAUGCGGCGAAGCACGGCGGGUUGCAUGGUUAGGAGGAGUGGGGGGAGGGGAGUGGUGGAGAGCCGAGGUGUCAGCGUGGGCCUCCUAAUAUCCUCUCUCUCCCCUCCCCUCUCGCCAUUACUCACCUCGGGAACCGCACCGGACUCGCCCCACCGGUCAGCUGCUGCAAUUCUCGCCAAGUGGCAUGGAAACUAUACCAACUGGCCCACCGUGAACCCCGCGUCGUCGCGCCAUCCCCGCGCGUCGACCACCUCCUCAUCGGCGUUGAGGAGCACUAGCCGCUGCCCUCGCCGGUGAACGGCUCCUGGCCUGAAAAUCAGCAACGCCGUGCCGAGAUUCGGUACGAAGUCGCACCCGGGGUGUGUGUCGCAUCGCAGCCGUGUGACGCACGUCAUCCCCGGAGCCUCAGAAAAAAAUUAACUAGCCCCGCCUUAGCAGCUUAUCGUGAUUGUUCAUGUGCCGAGCGACCUGAUGAGAACUGAAUGUAACAGGCUGUCCUGAGUAAUUGUGUUUACUCCUAAAGAAAAAAAAAUCUCAUAGUUCUUCAGAUGUCACAAAACAUUCAGGUUUGAUCACUAACUCAGUUUGUGAAAGUUGGAAAAUCCAGACGGGAUGAUUAUUCGGUUGUUGGUUUCCUUUGAGUGAGGAUCCGUGCGAAAAUUUCUCUAGGUACCAUGCUAUGCUUAACAGUUCUUCACUUCACGAGUGCUCAGAUUUGUGAAACAUUUUUGCCAAAGAAAAAAGAAAAGAAUUCUGAAACAUUAAAAAGUGAUGUUCACACGUACGUGUAACAGUCGGUGCAACACUCAUCUGUGUGUGAAUUAGCCCACAUCCGACAGCGAUAGCAGCAUGCAUUAAUAACACUAUAGCAGCAUGCAUUAAUAAUAGUUGUACCAUACUCCCUACUUCACAACCAGAAAAUAAGAAAUGCAUGUUACAGCAAAACACAUGAAUCAGAAUGUCAUGCAUGCUAUCCAUGGAUGUCAAAAUGAUGUUGUUCCAUCUGAACAAGAAGGUCAAGCAGUAGCUGCAGGAUUUAAAAUGGACAGGAAAAUAGCAGCUCAUAGUAUGAGAUUACUCAGUUAGUAGAAAUAGCAAUGCAUGCAUUCUUCAUAUAUGGAAUCGCGAGCUACACAUCUGAUCACAAACUAUCAUGAGUAUGUACAGCAAUCACAGGAAAUCACCUUUCUACUAUCGUAUAUGUACAUUAUAAGCUGGCACAACGAAGGUAAUUUGGUGUGGUGGAAUAGCUGAAAUAAUGGCAUAAUUCCUCUUCAUCUAAUUAAGGUUCGUUCAAUCACUACGAAGUACUAGCCCUAUGUGAAUGGGAAGAAACUUUGGUGUAUGGUGCAAUAGCUGAAAUUGUGACUAGGUUGCUUCACCUAUGGUUUAAGCACUAAAACCCUUGUGUGUGGCACUCCAGGGGUUGGUUGGGAUGCUCUUGCAUGCCUGAGCAGCGACCUUCACCAUCGCUUCAGGAAGGACGCCGGCAUUGCAGAUGUUUGCAAAGGACCGCAUGUGCUUCAUUCCAUACUGCGCCAGCGAGCCACAUUGUGAUUCAAAAGCACGCACCUGAAGAAAGGGAGGACACAAUAUUAGUCAUGCAUGGCAGGGGCAGAAGAAAUUACAUGCUCUAACCGCAUUAAUUUUAUGCCAUAUGACGCCUGUAUGUAUAAUAUGCAGUCAAGGGAGAGCUGGCAAUAUGUCGAAGUGAAGAAACUAGGUACAUCAUCCUAGUUUCAAUCCAGAAAUUAUCGAUCCUCAAUAAUAUUGCGAUAUAUUCAGGACAAUAUUAGUCCUGAAUAUAUAUCCCAUUCUUCCAGUACUAUUGCGAUAUAUUCUACAGUAUUUGUCAGUCAACUAAUAACAACAAUUUUAUCUACAGAAUUUUGUCCCAGUAGUCCAGACAAUUAAGAAAUAACUCAUAACCAAUAGGCAAUAGCAAAAGACAACAAAAGCAUAAGUAAGACCAAGCAAAGUCAAAUAGAGCCUUACCGUAGACUUGAGACAACUCCAGUCAUCAACAAGAGGCUCACCGGCUGGGCGAACAGUCUUUAGAACCAUUGGACCAUCCGCAGAACCAAACAGAAGGUUUCCAAUCAGCUCGACGCUAUUGUCGAUAUGCGAUCUAUGACUCAUCAUUUCGAGCAAUUGCUUCCGGGCAUCGUUUUUCUCAGGGGAACUCUCAGCC
rnacentral:lncRNA from 1 species